rnacentral:lncRNA from 1 species
ACGGUCGCUGCCCACAGUUUGAAGACGAGGUCGCACAUAUCGUCUGUACUACUGCAUGGUUUUCCUACCCCGCAAGUAAAACCACCCGUUACUCUACUGUUUAAGAUUUGCGAUAUCUCCUAGAGACUUAUGCUCUAUAUUUUGUUGUGCCCACGUUGUUGUACGCGUGUUAUUUCCAUCCGUGUAAAUGGUUGGCAAGCAGUGCGAGAGCUACUGCUGUGUUUGAUGACUCCUAUGUAUUUCGCCACUCUUGUCCUGAACUGGUCGUUCGUCGUAAAUGUGAAGGUUGCAAGACUAUUAUUUACCUGACGAACUCUGCUUCGGCACACCCCCUCCUAGAAAAGUCUACAGAUUUCGACGCAGAUUAGAAUUUACCCCUUUGAUAAAAAAAGGGUGACAUGGUCUUUUGUACCCAAAUCAAUCUAUUCAAUACGUUUGAUCUGCAGGCUAACAUGGCGGUGGUCUUUUUAAGUUAACUUUAAGAUCUGUAUAAACUUUUUAAGGGGGUGCAACGAAGGGAAGCAAAACUCCUGGCUUGUUCCAAAGUUUUUGCUGUUCCAAUUUGUUAUACUGUUUGCGGAUCAGCGGGCUGCUGCUUUGUUAUCCAUUUCUUCUGAAACAUAGGCAACAAUUGCAUGGUGAAACAUCUCAUCUAUUCUUUGCCAGCAGCUGUGUGGCUGUUGCCGGGUGGGGACAUGUACUACUGCACACGCCAAAAUUAUCUUUUGAAGCCGUUCAUCAUGGUUGUUCCAUAGAGUAGUAGUAGUGGUGCUAUGGCCUAAAAGGCUUCCUAACACCAUCAUUCAGGUAGUAUAAAAUGCGACGGCUAUGGGGGUUAAUGAUGGCUUAUCAUCCCUUAGAAUCAGGCUUUCCAUUGCCGGCCAGUAUCUUCUUCCUUCCCACCUACAGUACGUAGUAGAAAGUAGAAACGAUGCUCCACUUUGGCCUCCUUUCCUCUUGUUUCCUAUUCCUCCUUUCCCCUUGCAUAUCCGCUGGUUGGUUGGUGUGCAUGUGAAGCAGCGGCGGGAUCAGGAUCGAACACUUCAGGACGCUGGGCCCUGUCCUAGUUUAUCCCAGAAGACGAAUGAAUCAGCGUUGGCAUGCACUUGCUUGCCUGUGCCUCGUGGUGUUUUCCAGGACAAGUGUGGAGUACUACCACUGUAAACUAAUAUAAGAGCGCGUUUAGAUAACUAAAGUAGUAAUUUUUUUGAUAAAAGAUGGAUUUUAUUAACUCAAAAUGAAGCAUCAAGUAGAUAUAAAGCAUGAUGAGCACACAUCCGGCCUUUGCAUAGCUAGGAUGCACAUAGCCAACACCAACACACGCGCACAAAAAACACACGCUGAGAAAUAGCAAAAUCAUACAAGACCAAAGCUAUGCCUAAGCGAAAAAAGCCAAAGCGAUCAGAACAACGAUCGACAAACUACGACAAUGAUCAUAUCCGCAUCAUCCAUCUUUUGACACCACAAGGACAAAAAAGUUCUUCAACAGCAACGCCUUCAGAAAGGAAAUGACGCACCAACGUUGCCGUCGCCGGAUCCAACAAUGAGAGGCCAGAAUCUAGGUUUUCAUCAUGAAAAACAAGUCUGAGCAUAUAUGAGCAAUGCCUUCAACAAGGUAACGAUGCAAAAACGUCGUCAUUGCCAGGAAUAACCAACUUAGGUCAAACCUAGGGUUUUCACCCCAAAACUCAAGACUGGAUACUCGAGAAGCACCACCAGAUCUAAGUCAAUCAUGUGUGUUGCCAUCACUUUUCCACGAUCCCAGCAGCUACAUGCGCUGGGCUUAAAAUCCCGUUGACGCCGCCACUGCACAACCAUAUCUUUUGCGUCAAGUCACCGUCCAUAGAUUGCAUCUCAUCGCCAAAGGCAGACUGGUCGGAGCGAGAGCCGCCAAACCCCGUAAAGGGAGCUUUUGGCUGCAUCCCGCCAGCUCGCCGGUUCGAGUCACCGGCGGCAACCAUCAGAUCCAAAGAGAUAAACACUAACAAAGAUCAUCAGGUGGCCACGACAAUCCGCAGGGCACGGAUGCCCAUAACCAAGUGGAUCGCCACCGGAACCCCCAGCUGCCACAAAGCGCCAAGGCUAGCACGCGCGAGAGAGCGCAGCCGCAAGGAUGGUACCACCAGAACUUCAUGCAGGCCAACGCAGCAUGCCAGAUCCAUAACAGGGACGCCAUGAUCUGCAGUCAUACAACGCGCCGCCGGUCCUCCUCAUGCGCACCAAGCAGAUACAGCCCAUGGUUACUGCAACAAGAUGGAAUGCUGAUGCAUGGAUCACGCUAACACCCCACACGCGCAGGCUUCCAGAUUUGUUUAUCCGCCACUGUAGCUACGUCACGACCACUAGCCUGCGACAACCACCACACAGGAGCAGGGGCAUCACGAGGACUAGAAAGAACGGAGGGGAGUGGGCAGGAGUGGCCCCGCGGCCGCCACCGGCCAGCCGACGGCCGCCGGCGACGGCAGCAAGGGUAGGGAAGAGGAGGCGGCGCCUAGGGUUAGGGCCGGCGACUCUCUGGUGGACUUAAGUCAUUUCAAGCGUGUGAUUUAAACGCUUUUAUAUUAGUUUACGGGGAGGAGUACGCGAUUCUACUUUGAUGCUGAUCAGGCUGGAAACCAGUUAACUAACGAAAAAUCGGUCAAAAACCGCCACGACCUGCUGAGCAGCAGGGACAAGAUACCCCACAUGCACCACUGUAAAGAAAGGCUCAUCGAGGUAGCACGUUGACGUCAUCAUCGUUGAUUCUCCUUGAGAACCAUCAUCGUCUUCCCUUCUCUCUGAGGGAGCGAGCGACUCCGCCUUCCCAGCAGACGACCACCGACGCAACCCAAUCCGUAGAGGAAGUGCGAAGCCACAUGGAGAUCAAUGCCAAUCACUCAGCCACCCGCGACAGGGGUGACACAAUUCCGAUUUUGACGAAGUGCUGCGAAGGAGAACUAUGCAGGGCUGAUGCUGCGGAAAAUCAGAAAUCACUGAACAAAUCACGUACCACUUGUCAUCUUGCCACCCGGACCCGUUAUCGUAGCUAUGACUUUGUAGUCGAGAAGGACCUAAGGAUACACUAGAGAAGAGACGACUACCAUAAUCAUGUCGUGACCGUGUCAUCUCUCUUCCCAUCGUCGUUGCCACAUAAGCCAUGACGCCUUCACCAUCAUCUUCCACCGGCCGCCGCCACGACCACCCUCAUCAUCCUCACCACCCUGAGUCCCUGACGCACCACUCUCCCGCGGUCCUCCUCGUUCCCACUGGCUGGAUAAAGCUAAAAAAUGAUGCCCGUGAGAGGGGAACGACAUCAAAAUGUCGCCUCCGUCCGAUCAUCUUGUAUUUGGCUUCUCUCGGGUUGUCUCAGGCGGAGAUAGGCAGAGCAACUCAUCGACGCCGGAAGUUACGACAUUGAUAUAUGUCUGUCGCCGUCGCUGGCUGCGGCCACGGCCGUAGACAAAAAUGAGACUUUCCCCGAGAGUGUCCUCAGCUCAGGCUGGUUAUAGUGGGGAGUAACUUAGACUAGUAUCAUAUGCAUGACAGUAGUCUAAGUUACUACCUUCAUAGUGCAAAGUAACAUAAUACUAGUGUCAUAUGUGGCCUCAUUUAAUAGCUUGUAGACUCAUGUUGUCUUGAAAAGCGCUAUGUUACAGUAACAUAUUAUGUUACUACUUUUCAUUAACUACUUGCAACAUAAGCAAAAAAUUCUCGAGAUGCGUUAUGUUACUACCUAAAUUACUCCCACUAUGACUAGCCUCAAAGAAUCCGUUGAGCCAGCACAACCACUUGUCGCAUCUUCUCCAGAUCCAUGGCAUCUCUGGGCCGGCAAAUGCAAGCAAGCCGACCUAGCUCAGUGGUAGAGCGCGUGGCUUUUAACCACGUGGCCGUGGGUUCGAUCCCCACGGUCGGCGUUAACUAUGGUUUUUUUAAACCCUUUUAACCCCGAACACUUCUCAGCAAAUCAGCGUAUCUCCCUCCGCACUUGCUUCCCUGUGCCUUUCUGCUGUUUCCAGCAGAUACUUCAAUAUCAUUUACUGAAUCUUAUUUCAUGACAAGUGGCAACCACGCCGACCUAGCUCAGUGGUAGAGCGCGUGGCUUUUAACCACGUGGCCGUGGGUUCGAUCCCCACGGUCGGCGACUUGUAAUUUUUUUGAUUUUUUCUUUAUUUCGACCUGUUCAUUUUUGUUCAGGCAGGACCACUGCCUAGUAGGAUAUUUUGUUCAUUUUGGAAUCCUUUGGUGAAAGAUCCCCACGGUCGGCGAUAUUUUCUAACUUUCCCGACUUGUUAAUUUUUGUUCGGGUAGACUGCCUAGUAUGAUGUGGAAUCCUUUGGCGUGAAAGGUCCCUUUGUUCCUCCGUGGUCCUGCCCUGCCACUGUACGAGUAUGCGCUAGCUAGCAUUACUACCAUCCUAGAUCAACCUUUAAUCUUUUCGUGCCUGAUAAAGCUAGCUUAGUUUACUAGUAACGCAAUGCCAGCGAAAUGCCGUGUUCCUUUUGUUACGCCACCAUCCAUUAAGAUUUCUUGCACCGCAUCUUACAUAAUACAGUACUUACUACAUGGCCAUGUCUGUAAUCACCGAGCUCAUGCUCUGCAAAUGGUUAUCCCGAUAUGACGUGGUACGAAGUGGGAUCGAUCACCGGACCGGACGGACGCAUUUGACAUUUGCUUCGAGUCCGUCACCGCGAUUGACGCCUGUAAAAUUUGUCCACCGCGCGCAUGCGCUCUGAACCAGUCUGAACCCAGAGGCAGGAGGUGGUGCGGCAGUAACUGCCCCCUGCUCCGACGCAGCGUCAGAGCCCAGGUGCCGCGCUGUCGCCUCCAGCACGAGCGCGGGAGGGCCGAGGGCCAGGGCAUUGCCAUUGCCUGUCUCGCCAUGAGUUGCUUUUCGCGGGCACAGUAGUAGUACCGGGGGGUGUAGUCGUGGUGGUGUAGACGUCGUACCCUUGUCUCGGUUUCCGGCGACCCUGCGGUUUGCUUUGCUCGCGCCGUUAGUACCGUGCGGCAUCGUGCGUGGUUCGGGGACCCAGGAUCUCUCGCGGUAUUACGGGGGUUUACUGUCAGUCAGGAUUGUCAUUCUGGGAAAUCAGAUUAUCUUCCAGGGCGCUGUAUGCAAAGCUGCGAGCAGAAUGCGCUUAUUGUCAGUUAUUAACCAGUUAACCUGGAUAUCACAUUGACAGCAGCACCGUACACUUGGGGCACCUUCUCAUUCUACUAGCAAAAGACAGAUCGGCAACAUACAACUUUAUAUGCGACAAAUUCAAGUCCAAGCUCACUGCUUACAAAGCCAACAUGCUCUCUCGUGCAGCAAGAUCAAUUCUUAUUAAAUACUCCCUCCAUCCCAAAAAAAAUUAAUACAAAGUUGAGUCAUUUAUUUUGGGACGAAGAGAGUAUGUCUUUUCCUCAAUCCCUGUCUACCAUAUGUCAAAUAUCCUCUUUUCAAAGUUCUUACCAAAACUCAUAGCUACCAUUAGAAACUUUUGGUGGACAGGUGUGAAAAAAAAGAACCAUCUACAAAGAUACUAUGAUUAAGGGCAUGGGCAAACAUUUGCAUAGAAAAAAGGAUUGGUGGUUUAAGUGUUAGGACCUUACGUGCUAUUAACCAGGGUCUAAUUCUUUCGAUGGCCUAGAGAUUAGCAAAGGAACCCAGAGUCAUCUUGCUCUCAUUCUCAAAUCAAAGUACCACAACAACACAUCCAUUUGAAGGACGAAGCAAAACAUAUCAAAAUCUGCCACCCACUAAGCAAUUCUCAAGGUAAGACCACUGUUAAUAUCAACCUCUUUUUACCAAAUUGUUGAUGGCAGUAGCUCCAUUUGGAGUUCACUGUGGUUCUCUCAAUGUCAAACUAUUUAUGAUAAUUUGACCAUUCAACAACCUCCUUAUAUUUACCUGGCUAUAGUUAAUGACCUUUGGUUCUCAAUCAGAAAACUUGAAAUGUUCAACUUGUCAACUCUUUGUUUACUUCUCAAUCUGCUAACGUUAUACUGCAAACCCCUAUCAUUAAUGCUCGUGGACGUUCUAGUUUGGAAAUUAAGACUGCAGGUGGUUUCUCUUAAAAAAGUACAUAUUAACACUGCUUUAAUAAUCUAACACUAUCGGCAAACUAGAGGCCGAAAUCUGGAGGCACUCAUGGCACCAAUGGUCCAAACAUUUGUCUGGAGGCUUCUUCGUCGAGCUAUUCCAACUGGUAAGAAUGCAAUAGGUUUUCCAACCAUAUUAGUGAAAAUUGUGCAAGAUGUGGCAACAUAGAGGAUGAAAUGCACAUGCUUUUCUUUGCCCUUUCUCAAAAGCUUCUUAGGUUUCCUCUCCUUGGUAUAUUAAAACUGAGGUACUUGCUGAAAGUAACCAUUCAACUCCACAAAUAUUAAAGGCUUUGCUAGUUUUUGCUCAUCCUCAUAUUAAUAUAACCAGUCUAUACACUUUCUUGUGGUGCCUUUGGAAGGUAAGAAAUGAUACUUUGUUUGGUAGAAAGUUUUGCAAGCCCUCGCAUGUAUAUCCGACGGCUAAUGCGAUCACGCAAGGCUCAAAGCUAGAAGAGAUGAUGGCAUCCCAGGAUCAGCACGACACAACCCCUAAUGUUCAACAGCUAAUAACCCAGCAAGAACCACCCUUGGUUACGUCUCCAGGAAUUUCCUGUGAUGCGGCCUGGAAAAAUGAAGAAAAAAUGCAAUCAUCUCCUGCAGGCAUUGGUGUUAUUAUCCAACUUGAAGACAAUGAACAUUGCCAGUGGCUGCAUGUUUCGGCUCUUUCUCCUCAGGUGUCAUCCCCUCUCUAGGCCGAAGCAUAUGGACUUCUCCAAGCCAAGAAGCUAGCAGAUACUCUUCACAUCCACGAUCCACACUACUACGCAAAUUGUUCUGCUCUAGCGUCGGCAGCAACUACGAAUUCCAUCUGUUGGGGAACGUAGUAUUUCAAAAUUUUUACCUACGAUCACGCAAGAUCUAUCUAGGAGAAGAAUAGCAACGAGCAGGGAGAGUGUGGUCACGUACCCUCGUAGACCAAAAGCAUUUAGUAACCUGGUUGAUGUAGUCGAACGUCUUAGCGAUCCAACCGAUCAAGUACCUAAUGCACGGCACCUCCGCGAUCUGCACACGUUCAGCUCGGUGACGUCCCUCGAGCUCUAGAUCCAGUUGAGGCCGAGGGAGAGUUUCGUCAACACGACGGCGUGGUGACGGUGAUGAUGAAGUUACCAACGCAGUGCUUCGCCUAAGCACUAUAGCAAUAUUACCGAGGUGGAAAUCUGUGGAGGGGAGCACCGCACACGGCUAAGAAAUCAACUUGUGUGUCUAUGGGGUGCCCCCUCCCCCGUAUAUAAAGGAGUGGAGGAGGGGGCCGGCCGGGCUCAUGGGGUGCGCCCCAAGGGGGAAUCCUACUCCUACUAGGAGUAGGUUCCCCCCCUUUCGUAGUCCAACUAGGAGGGGAAGGAAAGGGAAGAGGGAGAGAAGGAAAGGGGACGGGGGGCGGCCCCCCUCCCAAUUCGGAUUGGGCUUGGGGGGUCCGCCCCUCCACUUGGCCGCCUCCUCCUCUCUUUCACUAAAACCCAUGAAGGCCCAUUAACCCNNNNNNNNNNNNNNNNNNNNNNNNNNNNNNNNNNNNNNNNNNNNNNNNNNNNNNNNNNNNNNNNNNNNNNNNNNNNNNNNNNNNNNNNNNNNNNNNNNNNNNNNNNNNNNNNNNNNNNNNNNNNNNNNNNNNNNNNNNNNNNNNNNNNNNNNNNNNNNNNNNNNNNNNNNNNNNNNNNNNNNNNNNNNNNNNNNNNNNNNNNNNNNNNNNNNNNNNNNNNNNNNNNNNNNNNNNNNNNNNNNNNNNNNNNNNNNNNNNNNNNNNNNNNNNNNNNNNNNNNNNNNNNNNNNAGACUCAUCGUCAUGUCCGUGAUCACAUCCGGGACUCCGAACAACCUUCGGUACAUCAAAUCACAUAACUCACAAUACAUAUCGUCAUUGAACAUUAAGCGUGCGGACCCUACGGGUUCGAGAAGUAUGUAGACAUGACGAGACUCAUCUCCGGUCACCAAUAGCGGAACCUGGAUGCUCAUAUUGAUUCCUACAUAUUCUAUGAAGAUCUUUAUCGGUCAAACCGCAUAACAGCAUACGUUGUUCCCUUUGUCAUCGCUAUGUUACUUGCCCGAGAUUCGAUCGUCGGUAUGAUCAUACCUAGUUCAAUCUCGUUACCGGCAAGUCUCUUUACUCGUUCCGUAAUGCAUCAUCCCGCAACUAACUCAUUAGUUACAUUGCUUGCAAGGCUUAUAGUGAUGUGCAUUACUGAGAGGGCCCAGAGAUACCUCUCCGAGAAUCGGAGUGACAAAUCCUAAUCUCAAUCUAUGCCAACUCAACAAACACCAUCGGAGACACCUGUAGAGCAUCUUUAUAAUCACCCAGUUACGUUGUACGUUUGAUAGCACACUAAGUGUUCCUACGGUAUUUGGGAGUUGCAUAAUCUCAUUAGUCAUAGGAACAUGUAUAAGUCAAGAAGAAAGCAAUAGCAAUAAACUAAACGAUCAUAAUACUAAGCUAAUGGAUGGGUCAUGCCAAUCACAUCAUUCUCUAAUGAUGUGACUCCGUUCAUCAAAUGACAACUCAUGUCUAUGGCUAGGAAACUUUAACCAUAUUUGAUUAACGAGCUAGUUAAGUAGAGGCAUACUAGUGACACUCUGUUUGUGUAUGUAUUCACACAUGUACUAAGUUUCCGGUUAAUACAAUUAUAGCAUGAAUAAUAAACAUUUAUCAUGAUAUAAGAAAAUAUAAAUAACAACUUUAUUAUGGCCUCUGGGACAUAUUUCCUUCACCAUCUUCAAAGACGUAGGACAUUGGAACAUAAUGCCCAUUCUUGGGACGUGGAGUAUUUGCUCCCGAGCUCAAAUGCUCCUUGAUAAACAGUAAAAUUGGAAAAAAGAGAGUAAAACAAUUCAAAAUUCUGCAUUUUUUGUGAUAAACUUUAGCAAAUGUUUUGUAUGCUUGUAAUAUUUCAGCACGAAAUAACAUUCUUGGAAGUUGUGGAAAAGAACAAAAUGGUUGUUCCAAAAAUGCUAGUUUUCAAAGCAUUUUAGAGUGUUGAUUUUUUGCCACGCCUUCCACGAAUGUCAUUUCGUGCUGAAAUUUUGCAAGCAUACAAAACAUAUGUAGAAAUUUACCACAAAAAAUUUCAGAAUUUUUUACUUCUUUACUAUUUUUGUCGAUUUUACUGUUCAUUAUGGAGCAUUUGAGCCCGGGAUCGGAAAAGGACUUUCACCAUUCUUACUAGUAUAUAGGCGUCCCCAUCUUUUCUUAGCAGCAGGGUGGCGCACAUCAAUAGGUGUUUUAACGUAAAAGCACAUCAUCAAUCAAAGUUAGUGAUCAAAAUUCACAACAUGCCUACAUCUUUUAGUCGUCUCUCUUCAGAAGCAAGUCCUUGUAUUGUGAGGGAUGUUAUCACCAUGUCAAGUGUGAUGCCUUUCACACUACUCUUUGUAAAGUACCGUUAAUGCAAUAAAAUACUUUCUGUGCUCCAAUAAAAACCGGAUAUAGCGGCCUAGACUAGAAACGGCGAUAUGCGGAUGCUGUAGAGCACACACUCAAGGUGUAUCCUCCGAAUCUUCAGUUCUUCACAGCGGAACUUGCCAGCAAAUGCAACCACCGCUGACCUCCAUGCAAGGCGCGAACUUCUCAAAAUUUCAAAAUUGUUCUUGAUUUAAAAAUUAUUCAUACUUAAAAAAUGAUUCUAUUUAAAAUAAUGUUCUCAAUAUUUUCAAAAAUGUUUGCAAUUUUGGAACUAGUUCCAAAAUUUUAAAAUGGGCACAUUUUAAAUUUCGCAAGUUCUAAAAAUGUUCACAGAGUUUAAAAAAUAGUUCGCUUUCUAAGAGACUUACUUUUGAGUUUUGUCUUAAAGAUAAACAAAAAAACCAACGAAGAAACGACACAGUGACCGAGUCUCGACAGUAAUCGAGUCCUUACAACAAGUAAGUAAUAACUACAGUGCCAUGGAAAUGGGCCAGCCCUGUUGUGCGUCAAAUAUUCGGCUAUUCGCACCACGACAGCUAUAUCUCGCUUAUAGCGAGAAUAGCUCUCGCCUAGCUGAAGGUUUUCCCAUCUCAACUGUUUCUGGGCCGGCCCAUUUUUGUUCUUUUUCGUUCGCUCUUUCUUGUUUACUCGAUCGGUCGCAUGUCCUCCGAUGGUUCUCGUUCAGUUUUCAUUUUUUUUCCAAUUUAUUUUUAUUUGUUCUUUUAGUUUUCUUUGUUCUCAAGGAUUUCUUCGGUUUUUUUGUUUUCCAUUGGGUUUCUCUGUGUUUUCUUGGUUUUCUCGGUUUUCAUAGGUAUUCUGUUGUUUCUUUCUUUUUCAUACGAUUUCUUUGGUUCAUUUUAUCCUUCUCAGUUUUCACUGAUUUUAUUUUCAUUCUUUCUUUCAAUGCUUCUGUUUUUCCCUUUUUUGGUUUCAUAUUGUUUUCUUUUUCGUGUUUCCAUUCUUUUUGCACUUGUUCCUUUGAUUUUUGUUUUUUACUUUGUCUCCUUUGUUUCUUUUGCUUACAGUGUUCUUUGUUUAUUUUUGUUUUCAUUCUUCAUUUUUCAUAUUCGUCAAUAACAUUUUUCUAAUACACGUUCAACAUUUUUGAAUAGAAAUUUAACAUAUUUUAUAAUACGUGGUCGAUUUUUUUUCUAUCCACAUUUUAAACAUUUUCUAAGUGCUUAAUAAAAACAAAUAAUACAUGGUCAGCAUAUUCUCUAUUCACAUUUUAAAUUUUUUAAAUGCUUGACUAAAUUUUUUAAAUACAACAUUAAAAUUUUUCCAGACAAGGUCAACAUUUUUCUACAUAUCUAACAUUUUUCAAAUGUUUAUUUAAUAAUUUUCAAACACUUAUUUAACAUAUGCUUUUCAAAUGCUUGAUUACCAUUUUUAAAUACAUGAUCACAUUUUUUCAGACAUAUUGGAUAUUUUUUCGUACACAUUUUACAAUAUACAUGAGAAACGUUUUCUUUAUAGUUUAUACACAUUUAAUAUUUUCCAAAUGCUUGGUUAACAUUUUUUGACUACAUGGUCAACAUUUUUNNNNNNNNNNNNNNNNNNNNNNNNNNNNNNNNNNNNNNNNNNNNNNNNNNNNNNNNNNNNNNNNNNNNNNNNNNNNNNNNNNNNNNNNNNNNNNNNNNNNNNNNNNNNNNNNNNNNNNNNNNNNNNNNNNNNNNNNNNNNNNNNNNNNNNNNNNNNNNNNNNNNNNNNNNNNNNNNNNNNNNNNNNNNNNNNNNNNNNNNNNNNNNNNNNNNNNNNNNNNNNNNNNNNNNNNNNNNNNNNNNNNNNNNNNNNNNNUUUAAAUACAAGCUUGGCAUUUUUAAAUUACUUGGUCGACAUUUGUUCUCUGCACAUUUAAAGUUUUCAAAUGCUUGUUUAUUUUUUCCAAUAAUUGUUUAGUAUUUUUUCAAAUGCUUGAUUAACAUUUUUUAAUACAUGAUCAACUGUUUUCACACAUACUGUAUAUUUUUGUAUAUAUUAUAUAUAUAUAUUAUAAACAUGAGAAAUAUUUUAUUUAUACACAUUUAAUAAUUUUCAAUUAUUUGGUUGAUAUUUUUCAGAUGUUUUUAUGUAAAGAUCUUUUCUUAAUAUAUUUAUUUAAAGUAUUUGGAACUGUAAUAAAAAUUAAAGAAAAGGAAAAGAGAUGAACAUAAAUUAAAAAACGAGACUGUGGUCUCCUGCGCGCCUGGACUGCCGCAUUCAGUGAGAAGCCUGACGCAAGAGCACGCUAGGUCUUGUAGUAAGCAAGACAUAGCGGUGCCCUAUUCGCACAGUGAAGGGAGCGAGUAGAGUGGGCCAGCGUUUUAAUUGGCUAGCGUAGAUUCUGUUUUGGGAAUCUUUCAGAAGGUUCUGAUCCUGUUCUUUUUAGUUACCCCUAAAAAUGUUCUUGUUUGUGUCUUUCUUUGUCAGGUUUUAUAGUUUUCAUAUAUUAUUUUCAGGUUUUGUUUUAUUUUCUGAAAAUGCUUGUAAUCUUAUAAAAUAUUUAUGGUUUGUAUUUUUUAAUAAAAAUUUCCAAAAUAUAUUUGAAAUCAAGAAAUGUUUUCAAAGUUUAAGAAAUUGUUGCAAAAAAUUUAAACAUAUUCACAAAAUGUUUAAAAAUUUCACCCUUUUAAAAAGUUAUAUAUUUGAGUUUGCUAAAAACCGAAUGACCCCUCCCCCCCCACUAGAAAUCGGAAAAGCUAAAUGAAAACAAGAGAGAAACCAAAGAAAAGAGGGGGUAAAGUCAUAUUGUUGUACCCCUCACGCGGGGGAAGAAAACAACACGUAAGAGCGAACCGGGCCUGUGGCCUAUUAACUGCGCCAUGUGCACCACGCGCCCUAGUUGAUGCAAAAUGCAUCAUAUAGGGGCCAUUGGUCUAGCUUGAGAAGGAUGCAUUUUUAACCUAAAGUCUAGCAUUGGCACGUAGGGCCUUUUGUUUUUUCUAGGAAUUUGGUUGAGUAUAAUUGUGCAUUUUUCAGACAACGACUGUUUGAUUUUUAUAGGACUAAAUGAUACACGGUAUUUUUUUCACUCUAUUUCAUAAAAAAUAGUACCCACCAAAAUCUCUUGGAAAGAAUCCUUCAUAUUUUUUCCGCUGGUAGUCACGCUGGGUGGGUCCUACUCGGGAGCUGUUGGAAAAAACUAAAACCUAAAAAACCAAUGUUAGGUGGACCUUCUUACAUACUUAAUUAACAGUUAAAAUAAUUAUAUAGCACACCAUAGUCCAUGAAAUUAAUUGUAUCAUGAUGUAGGACCCUUCUUUUGGUAAGCUCGCGAGGGUUUCAUGCAUUUACUCAUGAUUAGUUCAUCAUAUAGGGAUAAGCGACAAGCCUUUUAUAUUUGAUAUUUUUUUUGUUUUUUGACAAAAAGACUGUAAGGGAGGCCCCUACAGUAUAAUUGGUGCAACAAACCCAAAUUGCAAGUACCAUGCCUUGAAUCUGGGUGGGUGGGAAGGCAUCAACCCCUUCCCACCACUAGGCUAUGCCUUAGUUGCCCUUUUUUGAAUUAUGCCAAGUUUAUCCGAAUGAAGGCAGUAUGUAAUAGAGACAACUCCAUCUGCACUCCACACUGUUAUGAAGACAAAAAUGGUAUUAAGUGGUUAUUUGUACAAUUGUCUUUGAAAAUCUCAUCUCCUACUUACAUUUUACUCUAAAAGACUCAUACAACAGGAAAUUAUAUAUUCUUAUACUUCCAUAAGGUUUGUAAUUUUUGGGGGAAUCUCCCAUCUACCAAGUGGUCACAGACAAGGCUUAGUAGUCCUGUUAACAAUAUUUAUUUCUUAGCAUCUCGGGCCAAUGUCAAAUGAUUGGCUUUCCAACUACUUAUUUUGCCAUAUAUUUUUCAUAGUUAUUCUAUUACUAGAUAAUUGCAUGUGUAUUGAAGCAAGAUACAUUAUUUGCACGUCACCCAUGCCUCAUGAUAAAGAACAUUUUUAUUCACUCAUAAUGUCACAUCUAGAGAAUAAUCUCACGAUAAAAAACAUUUUUAUUGACUCAUAAUGUAGUGUCUACAAAAUACAAUCGCCAUGAGCACACAGACUUUGCAUGACUAGUACGCACACAAGCAACACCAACACACAGAUGCCCCCCCCCACACCCACCCACCCACCCACACACACACACACAAAGCAAGAAAACAAAAAACACAAAAUCCAAAAGUCCCAAGGCGAACUGAAACAUGUGGAAACAACCAUCAACAUCAACCACCAUUGAUGACAACAACUAAGAUAUGUGAAAGAUGCUUCAACAAUGACACCUUUAAGAAGUAACAAAACCCAUCUAAUGCCGUCAUCAAAUCCAGCCAUGGACACUAGAUCACGGGUUUUCGUCCUGAAGAAAAAUCCAAACAAACUCCGGACAAUGCCUUCAACAAGGGAAUGCCAUGAACACUAUCAUUGACAGGUACAAAUGAAGCAUUUGAAACCUGAAGCUUUCACUCGAAAGCAUGUGAGACUUUAGUAAAAAGCACCACCAAACUCACAUCAUCCCGUACCGCCAUUCCCACUUGCAAUGAAAGGAGCCACCGUUGCAAGCUAGGCCUUCACACCUCGACAAGAGUAUAUGCUUGCAACAUGCCCUCCAUUUAGCGUCACUAUUUGUUAUUAUAAUUUACUCUUUAUCAAUGAUAUUUUUCAUAUUAUUGCUCAAUUCUAAUGCCCUUUUCUCACUGAUUUGUAUGUAAUACACGGAGAGGAAAAUUCUUAGGAAUUUAGCGGGCAGCUGGAAAUCAGGGUAAAAUAUACAACAGAAGAAAAGUGUUGUCCACGUACCCUCGUAGACCGUAAACGGAAGCGUUAUGACAGCGCGGUUGAUGUAGUCGUACGUCUUCAUGAUUCGUCCGAUCCUAGUACCGAAAGUACGACACCUCCGUGAUCUGCACGCUUCGACUCAGUGACGUCCCACGAACUCUCGAUCCAGCUAAGUGUCGAGGGAGAGCUUCGUCAGCACGACGGUGUGAUGAUGAAGCUACCGGCGCAGGGCUUCGCCUAAGCAGUACGACGAUAUGACCGAGGUGGAUUAUGGUGGAGGGGGGCACCGCACACGGCUAAGAGAUCAAUGAUCAAAUUGUGUGUCCUAGGGUGCCUCCUGCCCCCGUAUAUAAAGGAGCAAGGGGGGAGGCCGGCCGGCCCUUGGGGCGCGCCAGGAGAGGAGGAGUCCUCCUAGUAGGAGUAGGACUUCCCUUUCCUAUUCUUACUAGGAGGAGGAAAGGAAGGAGGAGAGGGAGAAGGAAAGGGGGGCGCCGUCCCCCCAUCCCUAGUCCAAUUCGGACUAGAGGGGGGGCGCGGCCUGCCCUGGCUGGCCCUCUCUGUAUCUCNNNNNNNNNNNNNNNNNNNNNNNNNNNNNNNNNNNNNNNNNNNNNNNNNNNNNNNNNNNNNNNNNNNNNNNNNNNNNNNNNNNNNNNNNNNNNNNNNNNNNNNNNNNNNNNNNNNNNNNNNNNNNNNNNNNNNNNNNNNNNNNNNNNNNNNNNNNNNNNNNNNNNNNNNNNNNNNNNNNNNNNNNNNNNNNNNNNNNNNNNNNNNNNNNNNNNNNNNNNNNNNNNNNNNNNNNNNNNNNNNNNNNNNNNNNNNNNNNNNNNNNNCUUCCGGUGUCCGAAUAUAGUCGUCCAAUAUAUCAAUCUUUAUGUCUCGACCAUUUCGAGACUCCUCGUCAUGUACGUGAUCAUAUCCGAGACUUUGAACUACCUCUAGUACAUCAAAACACAUAAACUCGUAAUACCGAUCGUCACCGAACGUUAAGUGUGCGGACCCUACUGGUUCGAGAACUAUGUAGACAUGAUCGAGACUCAUCUCUGGUCAAUAACCAAUAGCGGAACCUCGAUGCUCAUAUUGGUUCCUACAUAUUCUACGAAGAUCUUCAUCGGUCAAACCGCACAACAACAUACGUUGUUCACUUUGUCAUCGGUAUGUUACUUGCCCGAGAUUCGAUCGUCGGUAUCUCAAUACCUAGUUCAAUCUUGUUACCGACAAGUCUCUUUACUCGUUCUGUAAUGCAUCAUCCCACAACUAACUCAUUAGUCACAUUGCUUGCAAGGUUUAUAGUGAUGUGCAUUAUCGAGAGGGCCCAGAGAUACCUCUCCGAUACACGGAGUGACAAAUCCUAAUCUCGAUCUAUGCCAACUCAACAAACACCAUCGGAGACACCUGUACAUCAUCUUUAUAGUCACCCAGUUACGUUGUGACAUUUGAUAGCACACUAAGUGUUCCUCCGGUAUUCGGGAGUUGCAUGAUCUCAUAGUCAUAGAACAUUUAUAAGUUAUGGAGAAAGCAAUAGCAGUAAACUAAACGAUCAUCGUGCUAAGUUAACGGAUGGAUCAAAUCAAUCACAUCAUUCUCUAAUGAUGUGAUCCCGUUAAUCAAAUGACAACUCAUGUCUAUGAUUAGGAAACAUAACCAUCAUUGAUUCAACGAGCUAGUCAAGUAGAGGCAUACUAGUGACAUAUUGUUUGUCUAUGUAUUCAACAUGUACUAAGUUUCUGGUUAAUACAAUUCUAGCAUGAAUAAUAAACUUUUAUCAUGAUAUAAAUAAAUAUAAAUAACAACUUUAUUAUUGCCUCUAGGGCAUAUUUCCUUCACUUGAGACCUCUCGAAGGAUUGAAAGCUUCAAGAAUUUCACCAUUGCAUUUAACGGGGUACCAUAUCAAGCACACACAACUCCUCAACCCAUCUAGUCCAUCUCUCACAGAAACCAAUCUAAGUAAAGACUCAAGGAAUCUCAAGUCGACGUGAUCGUACACCUUAGCGGAAUGAAGCUUGUAGGCGCAAUGGGUGUUCUGAGGGUUCCUUGUGUGAUGGAUCUUAUGAAUUUUUUUGAGAGCGAUCAUCCUCCCUAGAGUGAAUGCAAUCUUAUGAAAACACUUCAACCGAUCAUAGCAUUCUCAGUGAUCAUCCUCCCUAUGGAAUGAAUGCAAUAUUGUGAAAACACUUGAAACUGAUCAUAGCAUUAUCAAUGAUCAUCCCCUGGAAUGAAGGCGUUUUGAGUUUCAGAAAUAAUCUCAUCAAGGAGAGGGCGUAACUGGUUAACCAUGCACUUUGAGACCACCUUGUUAUAAUAUGGCUAUUUGGGUGGUAAUCUAUCAUGCACCUCAAGACCACCUUGUAAAUAACGCCACAGAGGCUGAUUGGGUUGUAAUCUUUCAAAAAUUGCGGAUUAAUUCAUUUAGGAAUUGUUAGAGUAUAUAGGCAUAUCCCUGUAUGUGGUAGACUAUAAUUUGUAAUUAUCUUCAGCCUUAUCUCUAGGGGAGACUUCCUGCUGUUCAAGCCUUGUACUCUAUAUAAAUCGCCCGAGAGGCUCAAUACAAUAUCCAUCGAUUCCAUCAAUCCUCUCCUUCUAUUCCCUGUAUCAUUGACUUGCUUUGGCAUCACACCCUCUUAAAAAACCUGCACUGCACUACUUCCUUGUUUAGCGUGUUACAAUUCCGCUGAAGGAGCCAAACGGGUCCACGGCGGAAACCCCCUCCGCCCCGUGUCGCCUUCCCCUGGCGACACGGGGGAAACCCUGACAGCCGCCGCCGUAAGGCCUCUCCUCCUCCUGCCCCCGCAUCGCCGCCGCCAAAGGGCGGGCCGGCGAAGCCGCGCCGCGCCCCGGGAUGGCGGCGGCGGGGCGGAUCCACUUCCCCGCGCGCGGCGCCACCCCUUCCCCACGUCCCCGAGAACCAGAUGCGGCGUCCUCCACCCCCCCCUUUGGCUGCUACCCCUGCCGGUCCGGCGGCCGUCCAGUGGCGGGCGUCCGGCAGCGUGCCAUGGGGCAUCCUGGCUGCUCCUCCCCCGCCGCCCCCGCUAUGGCGCAGCCAUGUUGGCCUCGGGUUGGUGCGGUUCUGUGUCCAGGUGCGGGCUGGCCUCGAUUGGCCGGACCUCGUCUCCGGUGGUGCUCCUCCCUCCCUCGAGCUGCAGUGACGGCUCCACCAUGGUGGCUUGUUGAGGUUACGGUGGUUGCAUCCCCAACGGCGGCUGCCUUUGACGGUGCGUCAGCCUGGCGGCUUGGUGGACGAGUGGCACCCUGCAGUGAGUUUGCCGGCGUUGUUCCGGCCCUGAUGGCCUUGGACCUGCGUUCUCCGGUGUCCGUGGCCUGCGGCGCCUCUGCCGACGCCGCUCCGGCCCCAAUGACCAAGUAGCCGCAUUCUCCUCUAGCAUACUCUGCUCGUCGAUGUCCUGUUGGCUAUGGCCCCGAUAGCUGGGAUGUGCGUUCCUCCAGCUCCUAGCUUGCCGGCGUCGCCGGUUGCCGAUGAUUACUCCCUGCAGAUUUUUCUCUGCCUCCUCGCGUCCUCGACGCCGUAUACCUCCACGCCUCACCUUGAGCCAGAACCAAUGGUCGUGUGUCCGAUGGCGCACUGUGCCAUCCUCCAGCGGCAGGUGCAACCCCACCGACCCUUUCUUGACGUGACAGUUUCGACCGGCAGUGACUUCCUCAUCAUAGAGUCCAUAUUCGAUGGCUAUGGGAUAUCUUAGACUCAGGCCAAGGAGAAAUCCUUGCUCGGCUAGCCCGUGCUAGCAGCGGCGUCAUUCACGGGUGUUGUUUUCCCUUCUUGAAGGCGCUGUCAUGGCCUUCAUCUGUGCCCCUCUUCGAGCUCAGGGGAAACCCUAGGUCCGGUUCUCCGGAUCGGAUGGCGCCGGCGUCUCGGCGCCGUUCUCCUUCUUGAAGGCGCUAUCUUGUUCGCUUGUGGUUGUCCCUGGUGGUGACUUUGCCGAUGUUAAAUCCAUUACUUGUUCGGUCUGCCUCUCUUGUUGGGUCUUGAUGGGUUUAGCUGUGUGUAUCCUCUGUUCUGGACCAAGCAUCCCUUGUUCCUUUGCUCCGUGCAGCAUGUUCGCACCUUCUUGCAUUUGUGUCAUGUAUUCUACCUAACUUUGUACCCAUUCUAUUUCCUUCUAUCAAUGAAAGAUACGUAAGCUUUGCGUAUUCGCGAAAAAAGCAAUUCCACUGAAAAAAUCGAGCUGGGAAACCACCCCCUCUCCCCACACCCGCCAUUCUAAGGCGAUAUAUCUCGCGUCUAUGGAAGCUCAUUUCCGAGACAUGAUAACCGCUGGAGGACACUCCAUGUAAUGCUCUAAAUGAAAAUUAGACAAGCCAUCUUCACACAAGGAAACCAACAUCGCUACGUGGGGCUAUAAACCGAGCUAAACAAGAAAAAAAUGAAAAGGUAGCAGAUGAAGGCACAUAUCCACGCGUAUUGUUGCAUGUGAUCUGUGAGUUAGAUCACCGGUUCUUCCAAGAUAUAUACUACAACUCAAAAAAAGAAAAGAUACUACGUCCAAACCUCUUGAACGUCAGUAAUUUGCACAGCACGCGAAAGACUAGCGUGAAUCGCGCGCGCAUCUCCCAUGUCCUAGGAAGAUCACAUCCCCAUGCGUAGUUACCAACCACAAGCCCACGAUAUGGGAUCUCCCAAAUCUGCACUGAUCUAGGCUUAAGCACCUUCCGAUCUCAUUUUUCAACGCAUUAAGCACCCCCGGGAUAUGGAUAGAUCACAUCACUUGCAUCGCACGUAUGCAACCUGCGAGGCUGCGAUUACCCCGAUGCAGUCCUCACGCGCCGGUCGAAAUGCGCCAACGAUUCACGAGGCGGAGGCAACUAAUUAAACUCGGAUCGAUCGAUCGAUCUAGGAGUACUUACUCAUCUGCGGAUAUAUAUUGAUCCGCGGAUCUUCAAGUCCUUGCAUAAUCUACGUGCAGAUCAGGCUAUGAUCCUGAUACGAUUUCUCCGCUUCCCAGCUGCCUCCCGUUUUGUAUAUGCAUAUUGCUGAGGCUCUUUCCGCUGUCACGGAGUACGUCAACUACACGAGUUGGCGAUUUUGUUAAUGAUUAGCAGCCCAAGAUGGCUGGGCCUGGGCGUACUCGGGCGCAUGAUGGGAUCGAAUCAUGUAUGCUUGUGCAUGCUAGCUAGCUGUGACAGUGAUGCCGACGCAAAUUGCAGGGCUCGCGACAAGCGUGGAUCCCCUUUAAAACACCCUCACCCAACGCGUGGGCACUAUCAUAUUGUCCACAACCCCUGUUGGCCAGGAGCUCCACGAGUGGCCAUCUCCCACCAGAUCUUCAUAUACAGCCACUGACAUGUGAGCCGGGUGGAUCCAAUUUAAAAUCUCCGCGGAGGGAAAGACAUCCAGGCUCGGUAUUUUAAUUUUAAUGGACACGAUCGCGCGAUCAAGGGGGGAAAAGUCACGUCCUACUUGGCGAGGGCGAUCGUUCUUGGAAGCUGGAGAUGUGGCUUAGAAAAUCGCCGCGGCAGAUCGGCCUGAAUCUUUCCAAGGAUCUCGUCCAGCUAGCGCCCCGUCGACGAUGGAUCACCAAUAAUCAAUGGCGCCCUCAUGGACUCCUACUUGUAUAUAUAUGCGCGCCCUGCUGGCUGUCGCUGUUGGUGAGUCGCCAUCGUCGGUGUAUAUAAACGCAUUGUUGCAUAGCACGCGGGUGAUACUAUAUGGGGAGCAGCAGCGUCGACGGAGCCGGCGAGAUGUGCUUGGAGGCUGGCGCCGGCAGGGCGGGGAGGCGCGGCGGGAAGAAGGCGGCGGAGAUGAAGGCCGCCAAGCAGCCGCAGCGCGGGCUCGGCGUCGCGCAGCUGGAGAAGAUCCGGAUGCAGAACCAGAUGAUCGCCGCGUACCGCUCCGGCCUGCCUCCGCCGCCUCCGCCGCAGCAGGUGCCGUACGCCGCAGUCCCGACGGCCGGCGCCGCAUCGUCUUUCCAGCCCUAUCUAGCUGUAAGUACCUACUUGAAAAUCGAAAUGCUGCAUGCAUCAGAUGACAUGUAUGCGUAGCUUAAGCUUACCUUUGUGCGCGCGCGUGGUUUCUCAGGGUUGCUUUGAGGCGAUGGACCGGAGGAUCGCUGACGUGCAGUACAGCCAGUACUACGCGGAGAACCUGCUGCCUAACAGCUCCAGCCGGCCGCCGUCGACGUCGCCGCUCUUCGUCGUCCAUGACUCGUCGUCGUCAGGACAGAGGCAGCAGCAGACGCCUCACGAGUACGACUACUGGAUGCGCCACAGCCACGAGUCCAGCGGCCGCGGCGGCGCCGGAAGCACGGAAGAGCUAGAUCUGGAGCUGAGGCUGUAGGAGACGCCACGGUGAGCUCGAUAGAUCGAAGUGUCUACUCUAAUUAAUCAUGUGUCCGUGCAUGCAUGGGCGAAGCGCCAUGCGGGAGAGAGGGAGAGGAUCAGAGGAGGGGCUUAGAAUUAGAUUGAUCGAUUAGCUAUCAAACUGGCGGUGCCAGAGUUAGCUGCUGCUUAAUUUGCUGACGGAAUGGCUGAUGCUUUCGUUCUGGAACUGUGGGAUGACUGAUAAACGUACGCUGCCACGCGCGACCGAUACAUGCAUGUAAAUCUUGUUUAACACCUUAUUAAUUGAAAUGGUUACCAGUUUGUAGAGGAAACUUUACAUACAUGUGUUGCGUAGUACUUUCAAAUUGAUUUCAGACGGGGGAAUUUAAGCGGCCUAUAUGGCUGUGAUGUGCCUGUACUUGGGUCCAUCACUCUUUUCCUUCUUUUCUUUUCUUACCAGCAAACAUGUCUGUCCGUUGUAUCGGGAGAAAAAAUAUCUCAUGCCCCUGGCUCCAUAAGCAUAGUUCAAUACCCUCCUUCCAACAGAUCCAUAUUCUUUAUUAAAAAAAUCGUCCCACUCGUGUCGUCGCUUAUCCUCAUUCUCGUCCUUGCCGACUAUGACCAAGGUAUCAUCCGAAUGUGCUCAAUCUCAAGGUGAUAGGCUCGGCCAGCACACGACACACCUGUCGUUGAACCGAGCUGGCAUAAGAGAAUGUUUAUAACUUCAAAUUAAUCUAGUCGAGUUGGACGUGAGUGCCAUCCCCAACGAGCUACUCCCUACACUCGAUGCAUGUGCACGACUACAUAUUUGCAAGGAACUCGACUAUCCUAAAAGACGUGUAAGUUAAUAAGACAUGGAGUAGUUGAAGCAGUUUUCAAGAAAAAACGGUCAAAAAAUCGGCAAAACCUAAAAUGGUGGAGGUGAGGUGGGAGAGAGGGAGUGCCGAGGAAAGAAAGAAGCACAUGAUAGAACCCUGCAUAUUCUUAGUUCUUACUUAAUCUUAUAACAAUAUAAUGACAGGUAAAUCAUGUUGAUUGCAUAUAAAAUAUUUAUGCCCCAUUGCUUCACACAUACAUUUUUUUUCUCUCUGGCGCAACAUAACUCUUAUGAGCCAAAAAUACGGAGGCGGUCCAACCCGGAAAGAGAGGAAGAAAAAACAAGUAAAGGCAUGUUCCAUCUUAUUACUCAUUGCCUAGCUCACAUGAUCUUUAUGCUACAAUUUUUCUGUCGCGAUGUAGCACAAAACAAUUAUUUUGAUAGUGUGGCUAGCCCAUAUGCUCGAUUUUCAACACAGACGGCAAGGUAAUAAAGCCUUGUUCUUCUAAAAAGAAUGAAUACGUAUGCAACACCUCCUUUUUCUUAACAUUUUGAUGAACUUCUGAAUUUCAUUGUAAUAAUUAAAAUCUACUAACAUCAACGAAAAGAAUGAAUACGUAUGCAACACCUCCUUUUUCUUAACAUUUUGAUGAACUUCUGAAUUUCAUUGUAAUAAUUAAAAUCUACUAACAUCAACGGGUUGUGGAUCUUGGAAACUAAUCGUGUUGCGUACUUGCGGAGCGAGGUAACAAUUUUCUAAACCAUAGAAUAAUGGGAAGGUUCAGGCUCCUCCUUCAUGAUCUUAACCUCAAGGAAUCUCCUCUGAUGGGAAGGCGGUACAUGUGGAGUAACGAGCAUCGUGCUCCUACGCUUGAAAAGAUUGAUCGCUGGUUCUCUACCAUUGAGUGGGACUUGACACAUCCAGAUUGUCUGAUGCAGGCCCUCUCCACGUCCAUCCAAUCAUUGCCCAUUAUUGAUCUCGACCAAUGUUGCGUUCUAUCGCAAAUCCCGGUUUCACUUCCAAUCGUUUUAGAUCAAGAUGGUGGGUUUUCAGAACAUCAUGGUUGAAGGUUUGCACUCCGUCUGGCCACAUAGUGAUCCUUUUGUGGAUCUUGUUGAUGGUGCACUACACCGGGGUGGCCCAGAGGCUAGGAAGCCCGACAGUGGGUUGGCCUCAGGGCUAAGGAGGCCUGAAGGAGGUCUAGCAGCCCGGGGGGCCUAGUUGGAGACCAAAAGACCAUCUUAGCGUUCAAGCUAAGAUGGCGGCCGCAUGAGAUCAGAUAGGUUCCGUGUAAACCCUAGCCCCUAUAUAAGGCGGGGCUAGGGGUAGCCAUUCCCAUAUACUCUGGUAGACUAGACUCUCGGUAGUCAUAUUCAUCAUCCUUGUAACUUCCUCGCACGAGGUGCUCCAUCAUCAAUAUAGAACAAUAAGAAUGAUGAUGACAUAGGGUAUUACCUCACUAUGAGGGUCUGGAACCUUGGUAACCCCCUUAUGCGAACCCCCUUAAAGCAUUUUCAGCCAAGCUAGCCACCGAUGACCCACAAGUAUAGGGGAUCGAUCAUGGUCCUUUUGAUGAGUAAGAGUAUCAAAUCCAACGAGGAGCAGAUGGAAUUGACAAGCGGUUUUCAACAAGGUUUCACUUCAAGUGUUGUAAGAUAAUUUCGAUAGACAGUUUGACAACAAGAUAGUUUGAACAAGGUAGCAAGUAACAAUAGUAACAAAGUGUGGCAAGUGGUCCAAUCCUUUAUUGUGCUAAGGACAAGCCGGCGAUACUUCUUAUAGUGAGUAAAACGCUCUUAAGGACACAUAGGAAUAUCGCCAAGUUACUUUUACCACGAUUCAUUGAGUUGAUGUUCAUUGCCUUGAUACGUCUUACGUAGGUGGACCGAGAUAAGGUAAUGUCCUUACUUGAACAAACACCUACUUAUGAUUAUACCAUGCAAGAAGCCGCAACUACAAAAGAAGUAAUUAAGAUAAAUCUAACCAUAGCAUUAAGCAAUUGGAUCCAGAACAACCCCUUACGAAAUAAUUCAUAAACUAGGGUUUAGGUUUCUAACACUCCCACAACCCAUCAUCUACAAACUAAUUCCACAAUGCCUUACCCUAGGCCCAAAGAUGGCGAGGUGUCAUGUAGUCGACGUUCACAUAACAUCACCAGAGGAACAAGAACACAACAUAAUAUCAAAACAAUGAACAGGAAUCAAAUUCACAUGAUUACUCACUACUGCAGGAUGCUGCUAACGCGAUACUAUAAUCAGAGACCCUUCGAUGAAACUGUGUGCGAUGCAAUAAUCGCAAACGUUGGUGUAAAAGAACCGUCAAAAAAGGUGCAAAAUGUUUGUGCUGGAGGAUGCAUCAAACAUGGUUCAGAUUUUAGUUGCGUGUGCGAUGCAGGGCAUACGGUUCAGUUCAAUGAACUAUUUGCGAUGAGGCGAAAGAAAAGAAACAGGUAGCCAUAUGAAGGCGUGUGCAAUAUACAACAUACGGUUCACUCGGAUGAACUGUUUGUGAUUAGGUAACACAAAAGAAGCAGUCAGCCAUAUCAAGGUGUGUGCGAUAUACAACAUGCGGUUCACUCGGAUGAACUGUUUGUGUUGAGACAAGAGAACAUAAACGGUUUAAUAUAACAAGAUAUGUGUGAUACGCGGCAAACAGGUUUGUAAUCAGAAAUGUGUGCAAAGACCGAUAAUAACACAGACGGUUGCUGCUAAUAAGACAUGGGUGUGUUGUGCGAUGGGAUUGCAUACAGAACAACAACAACAACACACACACACACACACACACACACACACACACACUUAUAAGGACAUGGUUGCAUAACCAAAUUAGACAUCCGCUUACAUAGGUGGCUACUACAAUUUGCACACACUAAAGUAAACUAUUACAUGCAUAAUUACAUAGGUGGCUACUACACACAUGAUAUUUCCACACACCAAUAAAGUAAACUAUAUAUUACAUGCAUGAUUAACUAGCAUAAACGAUCAUCUGAUCAUUAUCUACUUCUUGUGACGCUUGCUCUGCUUGUGGCUCGAUCCGGGCUCGUCGAUUUGGGUAACGAGGCACUCCCUCAUGUCAACGAUCCGUCUGUGCAUCUCGUAGCAUGUGUACACGCUCUUGGCCGCGAACCUGAGGUGAGGUUCAUCCAGUUGCCGCAUCUAGGCCCUGUGCUAGAAUAUGGGACUUGUUCUCUGGGCAUCCUGCUUCAUCUUUUCGUAGUAGGGUUCGAUGAUGGCUGAGGCGAGUUCGACCAGGGAGUCCUUCUUCGUGCUGCCCCAGACCCUGUAGUGGUCACGGAUUUCGACAAGGUUCUUGCAGGCCAAGCCCGUAACACUGAGCACUUUUACAUCGUCGGUGGUUUCCACCAUGGCGAACUUGUAGUUGGUGCUGUUGACAAACCUGUUGAAAUGGUCGCAAGGCUCUGUGGCCAUGCAGUAGUGGUAGAUAAGGACAUGAUGACGCACGCACAACUGGGCGAUGACAACCUUCUGAUCUAUGCCAGGACGACCGGUGGUGUACUGGAGGUCGAUGCCGACCACAUUGUACUUGUCUCGAGCAAGCAACUGCUCAACGCUGUUGAUGUAGUCGUCCACCACGGCCGGGUCGAUGGUGUACACCACUGAGAGAUCCGUCCCCCUCGCGUGGGUCUCCACUCUAUGCUCGCCGAACUCCAUUGGAGCGCCGCUAGACACCCCCUCUCUAUGUGUCGUCGUGGGUGUGCUUAUUGUGUUGUGGGACGCGAUCAAAAUGUUGAAGAGACUAAGCUUAUAAUGGCGGCGGGAAUUAAAGGGGAAGCCGGGCGGCCAGGAAUAUCGGCAGGCCCUGAUGGCAGUUAUAAUUUGCAGUGCGUAACUCCAUCGUGCCGUACGUAUCUGCAUCGCGUGGCAAUGCGUGGCGCAACCGCAUGCAUAUGGGGUCACCGACGUGAUCGUGCGCACGCCGAACCGCUGGCAGAGCAUGUGCGGAGGGAUUUGAGCAGAGCGCUCUGUGGUUGCCUCAAUGGCGAGCAACCACACACACACACACACACACACACACACACACACACACACACACACACACACACACACAUAUAUAUAUAUAUAUAUAUAUAUAUGCAUAUAGCAGUUGAACACACAAGGAAAAACUGUCCACAAGCCGAGCGCGUCGACGGACGCGAGCAGAGCGCACCGCGGCGCCUAACGGCGAGCAGAGCUUGCCAAGGGACGCGAGCAGAGGCCGGCACAGUGAUACGUGGCAUAUAGGACGAACUGUGCGAGCGAUGAGGGAGACAUCAAGCACGAGUCAGAUUAGAGUUGCGUGUGCGGUACGUGGCAUACAUUUGAUCCAUCCGAGUUGUUUAUGAUGGAAUAAGCCGUGUGUGUUGCGGGCAUACGCUUGCUGGUAUAUAAUCUUAAAUUUAAACAAAAAAGUGUUAAUGCAUGUUACAAAAAUUGUAUAACUGGAAACUAUGUUCAAAUACGAAUCCAACGAUAUAAUCUUUGGCGACAUGCAUUCGUAUUUUAUUAGUUAAAUCCUACUUAUAAACCAGGACUAGGGUAUAGUAGGUAAUUAAAUCGCAAAUGUUUUUUUGUAUUAACCGUAUGUGUACAUGUCCUUUCGUCCUCCUCUCGCAUGUCUUGUCACCCUGCAGCCGCAGAUGGCUUACAUCGCAAGCUUGCGCAGCGCGAGGGGGCGUUCUUUUGGCCAAACAGUGGCUCGAAGUGGCGCCAAUGAAUCAUCGGUGAGCCCAUUCCCGCGCAACCUCACAGGUUCCCGCCCGACUCGGUGAAAUCCGCCAAAAUCCCAAUGCUUUACCGGCCUGCUAUAUAAACCCUCAUGGCCGGCGAGUCCUGUGUCGCAUUUUCCCCUCCCUCCCUGUAGCUUAUCCCGUAUGCUUCUCCCAUAAUCGCCAAUGGCAUCGGUCGGUGUCAUCGUUGCUCAGCCACUACACUGUCAUCAGAGGACAGCUCCAGUUGGGAGGCUACACCGCGGCGGCGGCUCAGUCCCCGGCUUAAUGUAGUGCGUGUGGCGUCCCUAUUGGGUGUGCGUGGAACACCCACCACACGCUCCGCUGCCACUGCCCGUCGGCAGCUGUUGCCCGCCGUUGCCGCCACACCACUGUUGAAAGCCAGGGCCAUCGCCCGCUCCGCCACCGUGGCCCGAAGGCGGGAGGUGGCCGUCGUGGCCGCCACCCCACUGCCGGCCAUCACCCGCUCCACCACCGCGGCCCAAAGGCGGGAGGUGGCCGUCGUGGCCGGCAUCCCAUCAUAGGCCGCUGUGGCCGCCAGCCCACCGUCGACCAUCGGGAUCAUCACCCGCUCCGCCACCAUCACUCGAAGGAGGGAGGCGGAGGAGGAGGCCCGCACGUGCGUCAGCAACCUUGUGCACUACAUCGAGUUCCCGCGGGAGGAGGAGGAGCGCCUUGUCGAGCAUGCAAAGAGCCUUACCGUAGCCGUGGCCGCAGCACACGCCAACGCAGAGGCGAGGAAUCAGGAGAUCUAUGAGCAGUCCGGCCGCUUCGAGAGGGAUCGUCUGGAGCGACAGUGGGCGUUCGAGCUAGCGAGCGUCAUUGAACGUGCAGCAGCGGCAGGCACCAUAUUGCAUUUGUCCAGCUCGUCGAUAGGCUCCUCCUUCUCUGCCUCUUACUGAGCGCGCUCGACAAAGGAGAGGCUGCCGGAAGUAGCACAAAGCCCCUCUGUAGUAGUAGUAUUUAGGGGCUAUUUUGUUUAGUUCAUCUGACUAUAGAUGUGUGGUGGAACUGUACAACAUACUAGUAUAUAUAGUUGAACUAGCUAUUUCAGUACAUGGUUGGCAACAAUUGGGGAAAAGGUUGGUCAGUUCAGCUGUCGAGUUGAACUGUUUGUAUAAAUUAAGAACAACUGCUUAAUCUAUGAAUGAAAUCUAUGCUUAAUUACUGAAUUUUAGUUGCAAAAAUUAGAUAGUACUAGUGAUUUUUAGCUGCAUAUUUUGACAAAUCGCAGUGUUACAAGGAUUGACAAAUGGCAGUGUUACUAGAUCAACAAAUGUCAAUUUUUCCAGUUUGACAAAUGGCAACAUACCCAAUAUGAAAGAUGCAAAUCUUACCAAAUUGUUUGUACGUGGUUGCAUACGGGUCAUCCAAAACAACCGUUUGCGUUGAAGGGAUGCACAAAUCCUGCCUGCAAAUUUUCCCUCGACUUAAGGGGGAAGACUAUAGCUCUCACUUUGCAUACGAGUGUUCUAUCUAAAACAUUUGCGAUCUAGAGCUGCAGAAAUCCUGCUCGGCGCAUUUUCUCUUGGCUUCCUGGGGAAGCUGUCGGUUUGCAUACGGGUGUUCUAACUAAAAAGUUUGCGAUCAAGAGCUGCACAAAUCCUGCUAGGCACAUUUCCCUUGGCUUCCUGGGGAACUUGUCGGUUUUGCAUACGGUGUUCUAACUAAAACGUUUGCGGUGAGUGUUUUAUAUUUAAAAACCGUAUUAAACUGCGGCUUGGGCGCCACUAAUGGAGAGGAUGCGAGCAAGGCGUACGACCAUGGAAGUCAAAGGGCUCGCUUCCCGGUGAGCCUGCACGGCGUACAACUCGCACGCUUCUCGGUGAGCCUCCGCAUUGGAGUACAGCUCGCAUGCCUCCCAUUUAGUCAAGAACUCAAGCAUCUAUCCGCAUGACACCUCCUAGCCAUUAAAAGAGUGAGACGUGGCAUUACGUGAAUGGUUAACAGAAUGCACACAAUUUAAAUUAUACAAAAUGUUUGAGAUGUUACAGUGGCAGCUAUUUGUUUCAAAAUGCCUUUGUCGGCAGUUAUUCGAGUGCGCCUUCUCUCAAAAUGGACAUGAAAAAUACCACAACAUGUCGGGUGCCAUUCCAUUAUAGCAUGCCAAGUUUCAUGAAUUUCAGACGAAUUUUGGAUUUACUAGAAUUUAAAAAUCAAGUAUCUCAACAUUUUGCCGGCAAUCAACACUGCCCUGGUGUUUGAAAUUCAUUUCCAUUUCUUGCAUGGGACCUAAGCAUGCACCAAAGGAAAUAGAUUUGAUUUUCCAACCAAUUUAUAUGCACUGGAGCAUGUGCAUGUAGUUCAAAUUUGAAUUAUGCACAUAAAAUGCCUAGAAAGCCUAGUUCAUGUAUAAAAAUGUCGAAACGAACCCCAAAAAUUCCAGAAUUAAACACAACACUCUUGUUGUUCUACGUUGACACUAGAAAUUUUUUGAAAGCAAUAAGAGACAACAGAUAUCAUUUCGUCCCCAAAGGUGGCACGUUCCCUACCGAAACCAUCACGCUUGUUGUGAGAAGCCCUGGUUUGGGAGAAGCUUAUACCCAAACCUGCCCCAAAUGGGAAAAAUCUUUUACCACAACAUGUUGAUGCUGCUCCAUGAUAGCAUGCCAAGUUUCAUGAAUUUUAGAUGAGUUUUGGAUUUACUAGAAUUUAAAAACCAAAUAUCUCAAUGUUUGCGGCCGAGUGACAGUGGCAGGGUGUUUGAAAUUCAUUCCCAUUUCUUGCAUGGGACCUAAGCAUGCACCGAAGGACACAAAUUUGAUAUUUCAACCAAUUUAUAUGCACUGGAGUAUGUGCAUGUAGUUCCAAUUUGAAUUAUGCACCUAAAAAUGCCUGUAAAACCCAGUUAAUGUAUAAAAAUGUCCAAAUGAACCCCGAAAAAUUCCAAAAUUAAACACAACACUCUUGUUGUUCUAUGUUAACACUAGAAAAUUUUAGAAAGCAAUAAGAGGCAAUGGAUAUCGUUUUGUCCCCAAAGGUGGCACAUUCCCUACCGAAACCAUCACGCUUGUUGUGAGAAGCUCUAGUUUGUGAGAAGCUCUGGUUUGUGAGAAGCUUAUACCCAAACCUGGCCCAAAUGGAAUAAUUUUUUUACCAUGGCAUGUUGAUGCCGCUCCAUGAUAGCAUAUUUCAUGAAUUUCAAACGAGUUUUGGAUUUACUAGAAUCUAAAAACCAAGAUAUCAAUGUUUGCAGCCGAGUGACGGUGAUAGGGUGUUUGAAAUUCAUUUCCAUUUCUUGCGUGGGACCUAAGCAUGCACGGAAGGACACAAAUUUGAUCUUUCAACCAAUUUAUAUGCAUCGGAGCAUGUGCAUGUUGUUCAAAUUUGAAUUAUGCACCUGAAAUGCUUGGAAAACCAAGUUAAUGUAUAAAAAUGUCCAAACAAAGCCCGAAAAAUUCCAAAAUUAAACACAACACUCUUGUUGUUCUAUAUUGACACUAGAAUUUUUUUCAAAGCAAUAAGAGGCAACAGAUAUCGUUUCGUCCCCAAAGGUGGCACGUUCCCUACCGAAACCAUCACGCUUGUUGUGAGAAGCUCUGGUUUAUGAGAAGCUUAUACCCAAACCUGCCCCAAAUGGGACAAAAAUUUUACCACGACAUGUUGAUGCCGCUCCAUGAUAGCAUGCCAAGUUUCACGAAUUUCAGACGAGUUUUGGAUUUACUAGAAUUUAAAAACCAAGUAUCUCACUGUUCGCGGCCGAGUGAUGGUGGCAUGGUGUUUAAAAUUCAUUCCCAUUUCUUACAUGGGACCUAAGCAUGCACCGAAGGACACAAAUUUGAUUUUUCAACCAAUUUAUAUGCACUGGAGCAUGUGCAUGUAGUUCUAAUUUGAAUUAUGCACCUGAAAUGCAAGGAAAACCUAGUUAAUGUAUAAAAAUGUCCAAACGAACCCCGAAAAAUUCAAAAAUUAAACACAACACUCCUGUUGUUCUAUGUUGACACUAGAAAUUUUUUGAAAGCAAUAAGAGGCAAUGGAUAUCGUUUCGUCCCCAAAGGUGACACGGUCUCUACCGAAACCAUCACGCUUGUUGUGAGAAGCUUAUAUCCAAACCUGCCCAAAAUGGAACAUUUUUUUACCACGGCAUGUUGAUGCUGCUCCAUGAUAGCAUGCCAAGUUUCAUGAAUUUCAUACGAGUUUUGGAUUUACUAGAAUUUUAAAACCAAGUAUCUCAAUGUUUGCGGCCGAGUGACGGUGGCAGGGUGUUUGAAAUUUAUUCCCAUUUCUUGCAUGGGACCUAAGCAUGCACCGAAGGACACAAAUUUGUUUUUUCAACCAAUUUAUAUGCACUAGAGCAUGUGCAUGUAGUUCAAAUUUGAAUUAUACAUAUAAAAUGUGUGGAAAACCCAGUUAAUGUAUAAAAGUGUCCAAACAAACCCUGGAAAAUUCCAAAAUUAAACAAUCCUGUUAUUCUAUGUUGACACUAGAAUUUUUUUGAAAGCAAUAAGAGGCAACAAAUAUCGUUUCAUCCCCAAAGGUGGCACGUUCCCUACUGAAACAAUCACGCUUGUUGUGAGAAGCUCUAGUUUGGGAGAAGCUUAUACCCAAACCUGCUACAAAUGGGACAAAACUUUUACCACGGCAUGUUGAUGCCGCUCCAAGAUAGCAUGCCAAGUUUCAUGAAUUUCAGACGAGUUUUGGAUUCACUACAAUUUAAAAACCAGGUAUCUCAAUGUUUGCGGCUGAGUGACGGUGGCAGGGUGUUUCACAUUCAUUCCCAUUUCUUGCAUGGGACCUAAGCAUGCAACCAAGGACAUGUUUUUUAAACCCAUUUAUAUGCACUGGAGCAUGUGCAUGUAGUUCAAAUUUGAAUUAUGCACCUGAAAUGCCUACAAAACCAAGUUAAUGUAUAAAAACAUCCAAACGAACCCUGAAUAAUUCCAAUUUUUUGAUGACACACCUAUAGUUGUAUGUUCACUGCAAAUAAAAGUUCUACCAAUUCAAACACCAUCCUUUGCAGCUGUGACCCCAUUUCGUAAUUCAAAUCAAGGCAAAAAAUCAAGUAGAUCGUGCACAGUUUAUUAUCGCCAACCAUGUGAUAUGCAUCACAAAAUAUCUUGGAGCACCGUCGGAGUGUCAAGCACACUAGCCCACUCCUCAAAUAUCAUUUCACUGUUCAAUCGUCGCUAGUGAAAGAUGGGGACAUGGACCCGCGUCGUGAGGGAAACUUCGGCGGCCCACUCCAGCGAGAGCGCGGCCGCAACCGCCAGGCGCGUGCUAACAAGCUUCGUGAGGGUGAACACAAUCUACGUCCGGGCGGCCAAGGCAGCCCAAACGGCUGUUGUUGCUUCUCAGGCGGCGGCAGUAGCAUCUGCCUCGGGGAUAACAACUAGCGAGAGCGGCACACCAGCUGUUCGUUCUGCAGUGGCGGCCUUAGCCUUGAUGGAGGCAGCCCACCACCAUGUCGAGGCCGUCCAUGCCCAGCUCGUGGCGGUCACCGCACAAAUCGAACGAAGCUUCUCUGGCAAUGGUUGGCAACCCACGGCCCAAGAGUUGGCAAUCGUUGAGAGAGUUCGAGCAGCCAUCCGUUCCUGCGCGGCAUACCUCGCCACGACGGAGCCUGCCAAAGCCUAGAUAGCGGCCGCCCACGCCAACUUGUGGCGGCCUAUUCCAAAGAUAUGGCAGACGCGGAUGGCGAGAUGCUUGUCGAGUAUGGUGCAAUUGAUGCCAUGGAGCCCCUUCCCCAGGAGACCGUCGGGCGCGAGCUGGACAUGGAGGCGGCGGCGGAGAUCGACGAGCACCAGCCGUAGUAGUACUCUUUGUUUUGUUUAAUUAAGAGCGUCGGUCUUUAAUUUGUUAGAGUAAUGUUUAGGUCAGCUAGCUCUGUUUAAUUGCUGAACUUGGUCGAUUAAGAAGUCUGGGUGUGAAGGAAAUAUGCCCUAGAGGCAAUAAUAAAGUUGUUAUUUAUAUUUCCUUAUAUCAUGAUAAAUGUUUAUUAUUCAUGCUAGAAUUGUAUUAACCGGAAACUUAUUACAUGUGUGAAUACAUAGACAAACUGAGUGUCACUAGUAUUCCUCUACUUGACUAGCUCAUUAAUAAAAGAUGGUUAAGUUUCCUAGCCAUGGACAAAGAGUUAUCAUUUGAUUAACGGGAUCACAUCAUUAGAGAAUGAUGUGAUUGACUUGACCCAUCCGUUAGCUUAGCACGAUGAUCGUUUACUUUGUUGCUAUUGCUUUCUUCAUAACUUAUACAUGUUCCUAUGGCUAUGAGAUUAUGCAACUCCCGAAUACCAGAGUAACACUUAGUGUGCUAUCAAAUGUCACAACGUAACUAGGUGGUUAUAAAGAUGCUCUACAGGUGUCUCUGAUGGUGUUUGUUGAGUUGGCAUAGAUCGAGAUUAUGAUUUGUCACUCCGAUUAUCGGAGAGGUAUCUCUGGGCCCUCUCGAUAAUACUCAUCACUAUAAGCCUUGCAAGCAAUGUGACUAAAGAGUUAGUUACGCGAUGAUGCAUUACGGAACAAGUAAAGAGACUUGCCGGUAACAAGAUUGAACUAGGUAUUGAGAUACCGACGAUCGAAUCUCGGGCAAGUAACAUACCGAUGAUAAAGGAAACAACGUAUAUCGUUAUGCGGUUUGACCGAUAAAGAUCUUUGUAGAAUAUGUGGGAGCCAAUAUGAACAUCCAGGUUCCGCUAUUGGUUAUUGACCGGAGACGUGUGUUGGUCAUGUCUACAUAGUUCUCGAACCCGUAGGGUCCGCACGUUUAACGUUCGGUGACAAUCGGUAUUAUGAGUUUAUGUGUUUUGAUGCACCGAAGGUAGUUUGGAGUCCCGGAUGUGAUCACGGACAUGACGAGGAGUCUCUAAAUGGUCGAGACAUAAAGAUUGAUAUAUUGGAUGACUAUAUUCGGACACCGGAUGAGUUCCGGGGGUCACCGGAUAAUUAUCGGAGUGCCGGGGGGUUAUCGGAACCACCGGGGGAACUAAUGGGCCAACAUGGGCCUUGUGUGAGAGAGAGGAGGGGCCAUAGGGCUGUCCGCGCCCCCGCUUGGGAGUUGGACUAGGAAAGUGGGAGUCCUACUCCUACUAGGAGGAGGACUCCUCCCCCUCAUUGGCGCGCCCCAUGGCCGGCCUCUCCCUUGCUCCUUUAUAUACGGGGGCAGGGGGGCACCCUAGAGCACACAAGUUGAUCAUUGAUCCCUUAGCCGCGUGCGGUGCCCCCCUCCACCAUAAUCCACCUCGGUCAUAUCAUCGUAGUGCUUAGGCGAAGCCCUGCGACGGUAGCUUCAUCAUCACCGUCAUCACGCCGUCGUGCUGACGAAGCUCUCCCUCGACACUCAGCUAGAUCGAGAGUUCGUGGGACGUCACCGAGCCAGACGUGUGUAGAUCGCGGAGGUGCCGUACUUUCGGUACUAGGAUCGGUCGGAUCAUGAAGACAUACAACUACAUCAACCGCAUUGUCAUAACACUUCCGCUUACGGUCUACGAGGGUACAUGGACAACACUCUUCCCCUCUCGUUGCUAUGCAUCACCAUGAUAGAUCUUGCGUGUUCGUAGGAAUUUUUUUUGAAAUUACUGCGUUCCCCAAUAGUGGUAUCAUAGCCAGGUUUAUGCGUAGAUGUUAUAUGCACGAGUAGAACACAAAGGAGUUGUGGGCGUGGGUAUGUACAUAUUGCUUGCCGUCACUAGUUGUUUCUUGAUUCAGUGGUAUUGUUGGAUGAAGCGGCCCAGAUCGACAUUACACGUACGUUUACGCGAGACUGGUUCUACCAACAUGUUUCGCACACAGGUGGCUGGUGGGUGUCAGUUUCUCCAACUUUAGUGAAUCAGGUUCAAUGAACCGGGUUCUUUCUGAAGAUCAAAAAACAAUCACUAUACCGCGUUGUGGUUUUUGAUGCGUAGGUAAGAACGGUUCUUGCUCAGCCCGUAGCAGCCACGUAAAACUUGCAACAACAAAGUAGAGGACGUCUAACUUGUUUUUGCAGGGCAUGUUGUGAUGUGAUAUGGUCAAGACAUGAUGCUAAAUUUUAUUGUAUGAGAUGAUAAUGUUUUGUAACACAAUUAUCGGCAACUGGCAGGAGCCAUAUGGUUGUCGCUUUAUUGUAUGAAAUGCAAUCACCAUGUAAUUGCUUUACUUUAUCACUAAAUGGUAGUGAUAGUCGUAGAAGCAAUAGUUGGCGAGAUGACAAUGAUGCUUCAAUGGAGAUCAAGGUGUCUAGCCGGUGACGAUGGUGAUCAUGACGGUGCUUUGGAGAUGGAGAUCAAAGGCACAAGAUGAUGAUGACCAUAUCAUAUCACUUAUAUUGAUUGCAUGCGAUGUUUAUCCUUUAUGCAUCUUAUUUUCCUUAGUUCGGUGGUAGCAUUAUAAGAUGAUCUCUUGAUACGUCUCCGUCGUAUCUAUAAUUUUUGAUUGUUCCAUGUCAAUAUUAUUCAACUUUCAUAUACUUUUUGGCAACUUUUUAUAUUAUUUUUGGGACUAACAUAUUGAUCCAGUGCCCAGUGCCAGUUCCUGUCUGUUGCAUGUUUUUGGUUUCGUAGAAUAUCCAUAUCAAACGGAGUCCAAACGGGAUAAAAACGGACAGAGCUUAUUUUUGGAAAAUAUGGAAAAUUUGGAAGGAAAAUCAACGCGAAUCAGUGCCCGAGGUGGUCACGAGGCAGGGGGCGCGCCCUACCCUCGUGAGCCCACCGUAAGGCGGUUGACGCUCUUCUUCUGCCACAAGAAAGCUAAUAUUCGGAAAAAAAUCACGGCGAAGGUUUCAGGCCAAUCGGAGUUACGGAUCUCCAUAUAUAUAUAUAUAUACGAAACGGUGAAACAGAGCCAGAACAGAACGCAGAACCAGAGAGAAACAGAGAGAUAGAUCCAAUCUCGGAGGGGCUCUCGCCCCUCCCAUGCCAUGGAGGCUAAGGACCAGAGGGGAAACCCUUCUCCCAUCUAGGGAGGAGGUCAAGGAAGAAGAGGAAGAAGGGCCCCCUCUCCCCCUCUCCUCCGGUGGCGCCGGAACGCCACCGUGGCCAUCAUCAUCACCGCGAUCUUCACCAACACCUCCACCAUCUUCACCAACAUCUCCAUCACCUUCCCCCCUCUAUCUACAGCGGUCCACUCUCCCACAACCCGCUGUACCCUCUACUUGAACAUGGUGCUUUAAGCUUCAUAUUAUUAUCCAAUGAUGUGUUGCCAUCCUAUGAUGUCUGAGUAGAUUUUCGUUGUCCUAUCGGUGGUUGAUGAAUUGCUAUGAUUGAUUUAAUUUGCUUGUGGUUAUGUUGCUGUCCUUUGGUUCCCAUCAUAUGAGCGCGUGCGUGGAUCACACCAUAGGGUUAGUUGUAUGUUGAUAGGACUAUGUAUUGGAGGGCAAGAGUGACAGAAGCUUCAACCUAGCAUAGAAAUUGAUGCAUACGGGAUUGAAGGGGGACCAAUAUAUCUUAAUGCUAUGGUUGGGUUUUACCUUAAUGAAUGUUAGUAGUUGCGGAUGCUUGCUAAUAGUUCCAAUCAUAAGUGCAUAGAAUUCCAAGUAAGGGAUAACAUGCUAGCAGUGGCCUCUCCCAGAUAAUACUUGCUAUCGGUCUAAUAAAGUAGUCAAUUUCUUAAGUGACAAUUUCGCAUCUCCUACCACCACUUUUCCACACUCGCUAUAUUUACUUUAGUUGCUUCUUUACCUUAACAGCCCCUAGUUUUAUUUUCGUGCUCUUAAUUAUCUUGCAAACCUAUCCAACAACACCUACAAAGUACUUCUAGUUUCAUACUUGUUCUAGGUAAAGCGAACGUCAAGCGUGCGUAGAGUUGUAUCGGUGGUCGAUAGAACUUGAGGGAAUAUUUGUUCUACCUUUAGCUCCUCAUUGGGUUCGACACUCUUACUUAUCGAAAAUUGUUGCGAUCCCUAUACUUGUGGGUUAUCAAGACCUUUUUCUGGCGCCGUUGCCGGGGAGCAAUAGCGUGGGGUGAAUAUUCUCGUGUGUGCUUGUUUGCUUUAUCACUAAGUAAUUUUUAUUUGCUGUUCUUAGUUGUUUCCUAUCUUCAGUUAUGGGUAGGAAACGCAAAAUACCAAAAAAAUUAGUUGUACCUACUGAACCAAUGGUUGAAGAACCAAUCAAAAUCUAUCACACUGCUGAAGCUUAGUACUUGGAUCAUCUUCGAUCCCUAUGUGCUCAUGCUGAAACCCCAACUAGCUUAGUUGAGGGCAAAUCAUUAGAUGAGCAUGCUUGUUAUGUGCGACACCGUAUAUCUAAAAAAGGGAAAUUAUUAUGGAGUCAGAUUCAACGUUUGCAAUGCUAUGCUUGGAAUUUAUGUGAAUUAUAUGAUUUUACUUGUUGUUCUGAAAACCCUAAGAAACACCUUCCCUACCAAUGUGAGUUUAUUGAUAAUGGAAUCUUAUCUUCUAAUGCUAAAGGUGUUUAUAGUUACUAUGAUGUUCAACAAAUUGAAGAAUUUGUUGCUUUAGAGGGUGCUUAUGAAAUUGCUUCUUUGAUUGAAAAGUAUGAUGCUACUUUUCAUAAAUCUAAAUUUUUUGCUAUACUUAAAUAUUGCUAUGAUAAUUAUGCUUCUAAUACGUAUGUUAAACAAUAUAUUGAGGAAUACUCCGCUGUCCAAGAAGAGACUAAUAUUUUGCAGGAAUCUAUGGAAGAAGAAGUUGAUGACACUAUGAGCUCAUUGGAUGAAAAAGAUGAGGAGGAGAGCGAAGAACAAAAGGAGGAAGAGCGGAUUGAUCACCCGUGCCCACCUUCUAAUGAGAGUAACUCUUCAACUCAUACAUUGUUUAAUUCCCCUUCGUGCUUACCGAAGGAUGAUUGCUAUGAUGAUUGUUAUGAUCCCUAUGAUUCUUUUGAAAUAUCCCUUUUUGAUGAUGCUUGCUAUGAUUAUGGCCAAGAUGCCAAUAUGAAUUAUGCUUAUGGAGAUGAACUUGCUAUAGUUCCUUAUGUUAAACAUGAAAUUGUUGCUAUUGCACCCACACAUGAUAGUCCUAUUAUAUUUUUGAAUUCUCCCGAUUAUACUAUAUCGGAGAAGUUUGCACUUAUUAAGGAUUAUAUUGAUGGGUUGCCUUUUACCGUUGCACAUGAUGAUUUCGAUAAAUAUAAUAUGCAUGUGCUUGCUGCUCCUACUUGCAAUUAUUAUGAGAGAGGAACUAUAUCUCCACCUCCCUAUGUUUCCAACAUGAUAAAAUUGCAAGAAACUGUUUAUACUAUGCAUUGACCUUUACUAGGUGUGCAUGAAUUGUUCUUUUAUGACAUGCGAUGCAUAGGAAGAGAGUUAGACUUCGUCAUUGCUUGAUAUAUGUUGCUUUGAGCUCACUACUAAAUUACAAAUCAUUGUUAAUUAAAAUUGGCUUUGAUAUACCUUGGGAUCCGGGUGGAUUCACUACUUGAGCACUUUAUGCCUAGCUUAAUGGCUUUAAAGAAAGCGCUGCCAGGGAGACAACCCGGAAGUUUUAGAGAGUCAUUUAUUUCUGUUGAGUUCUUUCAUAUAGUUUUAAAACAACAAAAAUAAAGAGGGGAACCCAAAACUUUUUCAAAAAGGAAAGUGAAAGUGAGAAAGACAAGCACUGUUGAAGUGGGAGAGCUCCUUGAACUUUGUUCAUGCUCACGGCAACUUUGUGAAUCUUGAUUACAUAAACUUUUCAACAAAAAUAAUUACCCCUUGUACAAUUCCAUUGUAUUAUAAAAAUAAUGUGCCAAGGUUUGCCUUUAGGAUGUUUACGAUGCGUGUUGGUUUGUACUGUGCAGGACAAAAACUUUGGCUGUAGUGCGCGAUUUUACAUUUUUAGCUGGAACGUCAAAUGGUUCUGAUUCUUUUUGCACUGUCUUCCUAUACAAAUUGUUUAUUUUUACUAAUUUUUGCAGAACUUUUCAAGUAUCAUAAGUAUGGUGAAUGUUCACAUUAUUACAGACUGUUCUAUUUUAGUCAGAUUCUGUUUUUGAUGCAUAGUUUGCUUGUUUUGAUGAAACUAUCAAUUUAUAUUAGUGGAUUAAGCCAUGAAAAAGUUAUAUUACAGUAGACACAAUGCAAAAACAAAAUAUGAAUUGGUUUGCAACAAUACUUAGAGUAGUGAUUUAUUUUAUUAUACUAACGGAUCUUACCGAGUUUUCUGUUGAAGUUUUGUGUGGAUGAAGUGUUCGAUGAUCGAGAAGGUCUCGAUGUGAGAAGAAGGAAGAGAGGAAAGAGCUCAAGCUUGGGGAUGCCUGAGGUACCCCAAGUAAAUAUUCAAGCAGACUCAAGCAUCUAAGCUUGGGGAUGCUGGGGAGGCAUCCCCUCUUUCUUCAACAAAUAUCGAUAUGUUUUCGGAUUCGUUUCGUUCAUGCGAUAUGUGCAAGUCUUGGAGCGUCUUUUGCAUUUAGGUUUUUCUUUUUCUUUUUAUGCACCAUGCUGGUAUGAGAUAGUCCUUGGUUGAUUUAUAGAAUGCUCUUUGCACUUCACUUAUAUCUUUUGAGUAUGGCUUUAUAGAAUGCUUCAUGUGCUUCACUUAUAUCAUUUGAAGUUUGGAUUGCCUGUUUCUCUUCACUUAGACAACCACCAUUUGUAGAAUGCUCUUUUGCUUCACUUAUAUUUGUUAGAGCGUGGGCAUAUAUUUUGUAGAAAGAAUUGAACUCUCUUGCUUCACUUAUAUCUAUUUAGAGAGAUGACAUGAAUUGGUCAUUCACAUGGUUAGUCAUACAAUCCUACAUAAAACUUGUAGAUCACUGAAUAUGAUAUGUUUGAUUCCUUGCAAUAGUUUUGCGAUAUAAAGAUGGUGAUAUUAAAGUCAUGCUAGUGGGUAAUUGUGGAUUGUAGAAAUACUUCUGUUGAGGUUUGUGAUUCCCGUAGCAUGCACGUAUGGUGAACCGUUAUGUAACGAAGUCGGAGCAUGAUUUAUUUAUUGAUUGUCUUCCUUAUGAGUGGCGGUCGGGGACGAGCGAUGGUAUUUUCCUACCAAUCUAUCCCCUAGGAGCAUGCGCAUAGUACUUUGUUUCGAUGAAUAAUAGAUUUUUGCAAUAAGUAUGUGAGUUCUUUAUGACUAAUAUUGAGUCCAUGGAUUAUACGCACUCUCACCCUUCCACCAUUGCUAGCCUCUCUAGUACUGCGCAACUUUCGCCGGUACCAUAAACCCACCAUAUACCUUCUUCAAAACAGCCACCAUACCUACCUAUCAUGGCAUUUCCAUAGCCAUUCCGAGAUAUAUUGCCAUGCAACUUCCAUCAUCAUCAUAUACAUGACUUAAGCAUUUAUUGUCAUAUUGCUUUGCAUGAUCGUAAGAUAGCUAGCAUGAUGUUUUCAUGGAUUGUCCAUUUUUUGAUGUCAUUGCUACGCUAGAUCAUUGCACAUCACGGUACACUGCCGGAGGCAUUCAUAUAGAGUCAUACUUUGUUCUAGACAUUGAGUUGUAAGUAAAUAAAAGUGUGAUGAUCAUCAUUAUUAGAGCAUUGCCCCAGUGAGGAAAGGAUGAUGGAGACUAUGAUUCCCCCAUAAGUCGGGAUGAGACUCCAGACUUUAAAAAAAAGAGGCCAAAGAAGCCCAAAUAAAAAAGAGGCCAAAGAAUCCCACCAAAAAAAAUAAUAAAUAAAAUGAGAGAAAAAGAGAGAAGGUGCAAUGUUACUAUCCUUUUACCACACUUGUUCUUCAAAGUAGCACCAUGUUCUUCAUAUAGAGAGUCUCUUGAGUUAUCACUUUCAUAUACUAGUGGGAAUUUUCAUUAUGGAACUUGGCUUGUAUAUUCCGAUGAUGGGCUUCCUCAAAUUCCUGAGGUCUUCAUGAGCAAGCAAGUUGGAUGCACACCCACUUAGUUUCAGUUGGAGCUUUCAUACACUUAUAGCUCUAGUGCAUCCGUUGCAUGGCAAUCCCAACUCACUCACAUUGAUAUAUAUUGAUGGGCAUCUCCAUAGCCCGUUGAUACGCCUAGUUGAUGUGAGACUUUCUCCUUUUUUGUAUUCUCCACAUAACCCCCACCAUCAUAUUCUAUUCCACCUAUAGUGCUAUGUCCAUGGCUCACGCUCAUGUAUUGCGUGAAAGUUGAAAAGGUUUGAGAACGUCAAAAGUAUGAAACAAUUGCUUGACUUGUCAUCGGGGUUGUGCAUGAUGUGAAUGCUUUGUGUGGUGAAGAUGGAGCAUAGCCAGACUAUAUGAUUUUGUAGGGAUGAGCUUUCUUUGGCUAUGUUAUUUCAAUAAGACAUAAUUGCUUGGUUGGUAUGCUUGAAAUAUUAUUGUCUUUAUGUCAAAGGAUAGAUUAUUGCUUUGAAUCACUCGUGUCUUAAUAUUCAUGCCAUGAUUAGACAUAUGAUCAAGAUUAUGCUAGGUAGCAUUCCACAUCAAAAAUUAUCUUUUUUAUCAUUUACCUACUCGAGGACGAGCAGGAAUUAAGCUUGGGGAUGCUGAUACGUCUCCGUCGUAUCUAUAAUUUUUGAUUGUUCCAUGCCAAUAUUAUUCAACUUUCAUAUACUUUCUGGCAACUUUUUAUAUUAUUUUUGGGACUAACAUAUUGAUCCAGUGCCAAGUGCCAGUUCCUGUCUGUUGCAUGUUUUUGGUUUCGCAGAAUAUCCAUAUCAAACGGAGUCCAAACGGGAUAAAAACGGACAGAGCUUAUUUUUGGAAAAUAUGGAAAAUUCGGAAGGAAAAUCAACGCGAACCAGUGCCCGAGGUGGUCACGAGGCAGGGGGCGCGCCCCUACCCUCGUGAGCCCACCGUAAGGUGGUUGACGCUCUUCUUUUGCCGCAAGAAAGCUAAUAUUCAGAAGAAAAAAAUCACGACGAAGGUUUCAGGCCAAUCGGAGUUAUGGAUCUCCAUAUAUAUACGAAACGGUGAAACAGAGCCAGAACAGAACGCAGAACCAGAGAGAAACAGAGAGAUAGAUCCAAUCUCGGAGGGGCUCUCGCCUCUCCCAUGCCAUGGAGGCCAAGGACCAGAGGGGAAACCCUUCUCCCAUCUAGGGAGGAGGUCAAGGAAGAAGAGGAAGAAGGGGGCCCCUCUCCCCCUCUCCUCCGGUGGCGCCGGAACGCCAUCGUGGCCAUCAUCAUCAUCACCAGGAUCUUCACCAACACCUCCGCCAUCUUCACCAACAUCUCCAUCACCUUCCCCCCUCUAUCUACAGCGGUCCACUCUCCCGCAACCCGUUGUACCCUCUACUUGAACAUGCUGCUUUAUACUUCAUAUUAUUAUCCAAUGAUGUGUUGUCAUCCUAUGAUGUCUGAGUAGAUUUUCGUUGUCCUAUCGGUGGUUGAUGAAUUGUUAUGAUUGAUUUAAUUUGCUUGUGGUUAUGUUGUUGUCCUUUGGUGCCCAUCAUAUGAGCACGCACGUGGAUCACACCAUAGGGUUAGUUGUAUGUUGAUAGGACUAUGUAUUGGAGGGCAAGAGUGACAGAAGCUUCAACCUAGCAUAGAAAUUGAUGCAUACGGGAUUGAAGGGGGACCAAUAUAUCUUAAUGCUAUGGUUGGGUUUUACCUUAAUGAACGUUAGUAGUUGCGGAUGCUUGCUAAUAGUUCCAAUCAUAAGUGCAUAGAAUUCCAAGUAAGGGAUAACAUGCUAGCAGUGGCCUCUCCCACAUAAUACUUGCUAUCGGUCUAGUAAAGUAGUCAAUUGCUUAAGGGACAAUUUCGCAACUCCUACCACCACUUUUCCACACUCGCUAUAUUUACUUUAGUUGCUUCUUUACCUUAACAGCCCCUAGUUUUAUUUUCGUGCUCUUAAUUAUCUUGCAAACCUAUCCAACAACACCUACAAAGUACUUCUAGUUUCAUACUUGUUCUAGGUAAAGCGAACGUCAAGCGUGCGUAGAGUUGUAUGGGUGGUCGAUAGAACUCGAGGGAAUAUUUGUUCUACCUUUAGCUCCUCGUUGGGUUCGACACUCUUAGUUAUCGAAAACUGUUGCGAUCCCCUAUACUUGUGGGUUAUCAUCUCUCACUAAAUUUCAAGGUAUAAGUGUUCUCCCUGAGUAUGCACCGUUGCUACAGUUCGUCGUGCUGAGACACCACAUGAUGAUCGGGUGUGAUAAGCUCUACGUUCACAUACAAUGGGUGCAAGCCAGUUUUGCACAUGCAGAAUACUCUGGUUAAACUUGACGAGCCUAGCAUAUGCAGAUAUGGCCUCGGAACACUGAGACCGAAAGGUCGAGCGUGAAUCAUAUAGUAGAUAUGAUCAACAUAGUGAUGUUCACCAUUGAAAACUACUCCAUCUCACGUGAUGAUCGGACAUAGUUUAGUUGAUAUGGCUCACAUGAUCACUUAGAUGAUUAGAGGGAUGUCUAUCUAAGUGGGAGUUCUUAAGUAAUAUGAUUAAUUGAACUUAAAUUUAUCAUGAACUUAGUCAUGAUAGUAUUUGCAUAUCUAUGUUGUAGAUCAAUUGGUCGUGUAUAGCUUCCCCAUUUUAUUUAUGAUAUGUUCCUAGAGAAACUAUGUUGAAAGAUGAUAGUAUCAAUGAUGCGGAUUGGAUCCAUGAUCUGAGGAUUAUCCUCGUUGCUGCAUAGAAGAAUUAUGUCCUUGAUGCACCGCUAGGUGACAUAACUAUUGCAGGAGCAAAUGCAGACAUUAUGAAUGUUUGACAAAGCUCGGUAUGAUAUCUACUUAAUACUUUAGUGCACCAUGCUUUACGGCUUAGAACCGGGACUUCAAAAAUGCUUUUGAACGCCACAGAGCAUAUAAGAUGUUCUAAGAGUUGAAAUUGGUAUUUCAUACUCAUGCCCGUGUCAAGAGGUAGAAGACCUCUGAUAGUACUUUGCCUACAAGAUGGAGGAGAAUAGCUCAACCAGUGAGCAUGUGCUUAGAUUGUCUGGGUACUUCAAUUGCUUGAAUCAAGUGGGAGUUAAUCUUCCAGAUAAUAUAGUAAUUGACAAAGUUCUCUAGUCACUAUCACCAAGUUACUAGAACUUAGUGAUGAACUAUAAUAUGCAAGGGAUGACGAAAGUAAUUCCCAAGCUCUUCGCGAUGCUGAAAUCGGCGAAGGUAGAAAUCAAGAAAUAGCAUCAAGUGUUGAUGGUUAACAAGACCACUAGUUUCAACAAAAGGGCAAAGGGAAAGAAAGAGGAACUUCAAAGAAGAAUAACAAGCAAGUUGUUGUUCCCAUGAAGAAGCUCAAAGCUAGACCCAAGCCUGGAACUGAGUGCUUCUACUGCAAAGGAAAUGGUCACUGGAAGUGGAACUGCCCUAGAUACUUGGCGGAUAAGAAGGAUGGUAAAGUGAAAAAAGUAUAUUUGAUAUACAUGUUAUUGAUGUGUACUUUACUAGUGUUUAUAUAAACCCCUCAGUAUUUGAUACUGGUUUAGUUACUAAGAGUAGUAACUCGAAACGAGAGUUGCAAAAUAAACAGAGACUAGUUAAGGGCGAGGUGAUGAUGUGAGUUGGAAGUGAUUCCAAGGUUGAUAAGAUCACCAUCGCACACUCCCUUUACCUUCGGGAUUAGUGUUGAGCCGAAAAUAAAUGUUAUUUGUUGUUUACAUAUAGCAUAAUAUGAUUGGAUCAUGUUUAUUGCAAUACGGUUGUUCAUUUAAGUCAAGGAUAAUUGUUAUUCUGUUUACAUGAAUAAAACCUUCUGAGGUCAUACACCCAAGGUGAAUGGUUUAUUGAAUCUCGAUCGUAGUAAUACACAUAUUCAUAAUAUUGAAGCCAAAAGAUGCAAAGUUGAUAAUGAUAGUGCAACAAUUUUUUGUGGCACUACCGUUUAGGUCAUAUUGGUGUAAAGCACAUGAAGAAACUCCGUGCUGAUGGGCCUCACUUGAUUAUGAAUCAUUUGAUGCUUGCGAACCAUGCCUCAUGGGCAAUAUGACUAAAACUCCGUUCUCCGGAACAAUGGAGCAAGCAACUGACUUAUUGGAAACAAUACAUACUGAUGUAUGCAAUCCGAUGAGUGUUGAGGCUUGCGGCGGGUAUCAUUAUUUUCUGAUCUUCAUAGAUGAUUUGAGCAGAUAUGGGUAUAUCUACUUGAUAAAACAUAAGUCUGAAACAUUUGAAAAGAUCAAAGAAUUUCAUAGUGAAGUGGAAAAUCAUCGUAACAAGGAAAUAAAGUUUCUACGAUCUGAUCGUGGAGGAGAAUAUUUGAGUUACGAGUUUGGUCUUCAUUUGAAACAAUGCGGAAUAGUUUCGCAACUCACGCCACCUGGAACACCACAGUGUAAUGGUGUGUCCGAAUGUCAUAACCGUACUUUAUUAGAUAUGGUGCGAUCUAUGAUGUCUCUGACCAAUUUAUCACUAUCGUUUUGGGGUUAUGCAUUAGAGACAGUUACAUUCAUGUUAAAUAGGACACCAUCUAAAUCCGUUGAGACGACACAAUAUGAACUGUGGUUUGGCAAGAAACCUAAGCUGUCGUUUCUUAAAGUUUGGGGCUAUGAUGCUUAUGUGAAAAAGUUUCAACCUGAUAAGCUCGAACCCAAAUCGGAGAAAUGCGUCUUCAUAGGAUACCCAAAGGAAACUGUUGGGUACACCUUCUAUCACAGAUCCGAAGGCAAGAUAUUCAUUGCUAAGAAUGGAUCCUUUCUAGAGAAGAAGUUUCUCUCGAAAGAAGUGAGUGGGAGGAAAGUAGAACUUGACGAGGUAAUUGCACCAUCUCCCUUAUUGGAAAGUAGUUCAUCACUGAAAUCAGUUCCAGUGAUUCCUACACCAUUAAGUUAGGAAGCUAAUGAUGAUGAUCAUGAAACUUCUGAUCAAGUUACUACCGAACCUCGUAGGUCACUCAGAGUAAGAUACACACCAGAGUGGUACGGUAAUCCUGUUCUGGAAGUCAUGUUACUUGACCAUGACGAACCUACGAACUAUGAGGAAGCGAUGAUGAGCCCAGGUUCUGCAAAAUGGCUUGAGGCCAUGAAAUCUGAGAUGUGAUCCAUGUAUGAGAACAAAGUAUGGACUUUGAUUGACUUGCUCGAUGAUCGGUGAGCCAUUCAGAAUAAAUGGAUCUUCAAGAGGAAGACGGACGCUGAUAGUAGUGUUACUAUCUACAAAGAUCGAAUUGUCGCAAAAGGUUUUCGACAAGUUCAAGGUGUUGACUACGAUGAGAUUUUCUCACUCGUAUCGAUGUUUAAAAGUCUGUCCGAAUCAUGUUAGCAGUUGUCGCAUUUUAUGAAAUCUGGCAAAUGGAAAUCAAAACUACAUUCCUUAAUGGAUUUAUUAAAAAAGAGUUGUAUAUGAUGCAACCAGAUGGUUUUGUCAAUUCUAAAGGUGUUAACAAAGUGUGCAAGCUCCAGCGAUCCAUCUAUGGACUGGUGCAAGCAUCUCGGCGUUGGAACAUACGCUUUGAUGAGUUGAUCAAAGCAUAUAGUUUUAUACAGACUUGCGGUGAAGCCUGUAUUUAGAAGAAAGUGAGUGGGAGCACUACAACCUUUCUGAUAAGUAUAUGUGAAUGACAUAUUGUUGAUCAGAAAUGAUGUAGAAUUUUCUGGAAAACAUAAAGGAGAAUUUGAAAGGAGUUUUUCAAAGAAAGAAUUACCUGUAAAGCUACUUACAUAUUGGGCAUCAAGAUCUAUAAAGAUAGAUCAAGACGCUUGAUAAGACUUUCAAUGAGUACAUACCUUGAUAAUAUUUUGAAGGAGUUCAAAAUGGAUAAGUUAAAGAAGGAGUUCUUGCCUGAGUUGUAAGGUGUGAAAUUGAGUAAAGACUCAAAACCCGACCACGGCAGAAAAUAGAAAGAGAAUGAAAAGUCAUUCCCUAUGCCUCAGUCAUAGGUUCUAUAAAGUAUGCUAUGCUAUGUACCAAACCUAUUAUAUACCUUAGCAUAAUUUUGGCAAGGGAGUACAAUAGUGAUCUAGGAGUAGAUCACUAGACAACGGUCAAAAUUAUCCUUAGAGGACUAAGGAAUAUUUCUCUGAUAUGGAGGUGAUAAAAGAGUUCGUCGUAAAGAGUUACGUCGAUGCAAGAUUUUUACAUCGAUCUAGAUGACUCUAAGUCUCGAUCUGGAUACAUAUUGAAAGUGGGAGCAAUUAGCUAGAGUAGAUCCGUGCAGAGUAUUAUAGACAUAGAAAUUUGUGAAAUACAUAUGGAUCUGAAUGUUGCAGACCCGUAGACUAAACUUCUCUCACAAGCAAAACAUGAUCACUCUUUGGGUAUUAAUCACAUAGAGAUGUGAACUAGAUUAUUGACUCUAGUAAACCCUUUGGGUAUUAGUCACAUGAAGAUGUGAACUAAUCACAUAAAGAUGUGAAUUAUUGGUGUGAAAUCACAUGACGAUAUGAACUAGAUUAUUGACUCCAGUGCAAGUGGGAGACUGAAGGAAAUAGGCCCUAGAGGCAAUAAUAAAGUUGUUAUUUAUAUUUCCUUAUAUCAUGAUAAAUUUUUAUUAUUCAUGCUAGAAUUGUAUUAACCGGAAACUCAGUACAUGUGUGAAUACAUAGACAAACUGAGUGUCACUAGUAUGCCUCUACUUGACUAGCUCAUUAAUCAAAGAUGGUUAAGUUUCCUAGCCAUGGACAAAGAGUUGUCAUUUGAUUAAUGGGAGCACAUCAUUAGAGAAUGAUGUGAUUGACUUGACCCAUCCGUUAGCUUAGCAUGAUGAUCGUUUAGUUUGUUGCUAUUCCUUUCUUCAUAUAACUUAUACAUGUUCCUAUGACUAUGAGAUUAUGCAACUCCCGAAUACCGGAGGAACACUUAGUGUGCUAUCAAACAUCACAACGUAACUGGGUGAUUAUAAAUAUGCUCCAUAGGUGUCUCCGAUGGUGUCUGUUGAUUUGGCAUAGAUCGAGAUUAGGAUUUGUCACUCCGAUUAUCGAAGAGGUAUCUCUGGGCCCUCUCGGUAGUGCUCAUCACUAUAAGCCUUGCAAGCAAUGUGACUAUAAAGAGUUAGUUACGGGAUGAUGCAUUACAGAACGAGUAAUGAGACUUGCCGGUAAUGAGAUUGAACUAGGUAUUGAGAUACCGCCGAUUGAAUCUCGGGCAAGUAACAUACCGAUGACAAAGGGAACAAUGUAUAUCGUUAUGCGGUUUGACCGAGAAAGAUCUUCGUAGAAUAUGUGGGAGAUAAUAUGAACAUCCAGGUUCCGCUAUUGGUUAUUGACCAGAGACGUGUGUCGGUCAUGUCUACAUAGUUCUCGAACCCGUAGGGUCCGCACGCUUAACGUUCAGUGACGAUUGGUAUUAUGAGUUUAUGUGUCUUGAUGUACCGAAGGUAGUUCGGUGUCCCGGAUGUGAUCAUGGACAUGAUGAGGAGUUUUGAAAUGGUCGAGACAUAAAGAUUGAUAUAUUGGAUGAAUAUAUUCGGACACCGGAUGAGUUCCGGGGGUCACCGGAUAAUUAUCGGAGUGCCGGGGGGUUAUCAGAACCCCCCGGGGAACUAAUGGGCCAACAUGGGCCUUGUGUGUGAGAAAGGAGGGGCCAUAGUGCUGGCCGUGUGCCCCCUCCUUGGGAGUCCGAAUUGGACAAGGAGGGGGGGGGGCCCUCUUUCCCUCACUCUCUCCUUCUCCUUCCUCCCCCUCCCUCCUCCUAGUUGGACUAGGAAAGGGGGAGUCCUACUCCUACUAGGAGGAGGACUCCCCCCCCUCGUUGGCGCGCCCCAUGGCCGGCCUCCCCCUUGCUCCUUUAUAUACGAGGGCAGGGGGCACCCUAGAACACACAAGUUGAUCGUUGAUCCCUUAGCCGUGUGCAGUGCCCCCUCCACCAUAAUCCACCUCGGUCAUAUCAUCGUAGUGCUUAGGCAAAGCCCUGCGAUGGUAGCUUCAUCAGCACCGUCAUCACGCCGUGGUACUGACGAAGCUCUCCCUCGACACUCGGCUGGAUCGAGAGUUUGUGGGAUGUCACUGAGCCAAAAGUGUGCAGAUUGCGGAGGUGCCAUACUUUCGGUACUAGGAUCAGUCGGAUCGUGAAGACAUAUGACUACAUCAACCGCGUUGUCAUAAUGCUUCCGCUUACGGUCUACGAGGGUAUGUGGACAACACUCUUCCCCUCUCGUUGCUAUGUAUCACCAUGAUAGAUCUUGCAUGUGCGUAGGAUUUUUUUGAAAUUACUGCGUUCCCCAAUAGGGUGUGCUAGUCUCCUUUGUGUACCCAAAUUAUGCAAUGACGCGGAUGACCACUGUAACCAGGGAAAUUCGAACCAAAAUUUUUGACGUUCAAACUCAUCACACAUGGGUUAAGCUAUCUGAAUCGUUUGUGAUGUUCAUAUAUCGUACACAGUUCUGAAUAAUGGACCGCGUCUGAUGACACUUUGCACGCUAGUUUUUUCACUGAAGCGAUUCCAAAAUUUCGGCUUCCGCGGAAAUAUCUACCUCCCCGCCCCUCCCCCUUGCCAAAAGCCACAUUUCCCCUGUUUCCGCCUUCCUUUACAAGUUGAAACCUUCACUCCUUGCUUGCAGCACCGCCUCCUCGCUGGUGACCCUCCUUCACGCUACUCAGCCUCGCCUAUCCGGGCAGGUAAACCACACCCGACCCCAUCUUCCUCCUCCUUCCACAUCCCACUUGCCCCGACCACCGGCGCGACACCUUCCACCCAAAUCACCAACCCCUCCACCAAAUAAGUGCCGCCCUAAGCCAUGGUGCGCAUAAUAUAUCCAGGAUCUCAAGGAGCAUUUGGCAGCGGAGAAGUAAAUCAUGGCCGCACACGCGGAUGAGGUCGCGAUGGCUUCCAUUCGUGUCGACCCCCAGAUCUUGGAGGAGCACUUCACCGUUGAUGCCACCAUCGACGCCUUGCAUGUCGAUGACGCAGCGCGGUUGGCUGUUUGGUUCAAUUCUACAAUGUGAUGUUCAAUUAUUAUGGGUGCAUUCUGUUAUUGUAUACCAUGUGAGAAAUAAAUUGAAUUUGGCUGUACUAAAUACAUGAUAAACAAAUACAAUUGCUAUAUUUCCAAGUUGUUAAGCAUGCUUGGUUUGAUUAAUUGUCUAAUCUUCUAUUAUGAGUAUGUUAUAUUGUGCAAUGUGGUGCUCAGUUAACGUUUGGUUCAUUUGUUGUGGUGUUUAACUGUUUUGUUUGGUUCAAUUCUGCAGUGCAUGCGAUGCUCAAUUGUUAUGGGUGCAUUUUAUUAUUGUAUACCAUGCGAGGAAUAAAUUGAAUUUGGCUGUACUAAAUACAUGAGAAACAAAUACAAUUGCUAUAUUUCCAAGUUGUUAAGCGUGCUUGGUUUGGUUAAUUGUCUGAUCUUCUAUUAGGAGUAUGUUAUAUUGUGCAAUGUGGUGCUCAGUUAAUGUUUGGUUCAUUUGUUGUGGUGUUUAGUUAACUGCUUGGUUCAAUUCUGCAAUGCAGUGUCCAAUUGUCGUGGGUAGAAUUUUGUAUUGUUGUGCAAGUGAGGAAUAAAUCGAAUUUGGCUGCACUUAAUACAUGAGAAACAUAUACAAGUGCUAUAUUUCCUAGUUCUUAAUCAUGCUUGGUUUGGAUAAAUGGGUUUUCCAUGUGGCUUGAAUUAAUCUAAUGAAUUUGCAAUGUUCUUAUUUUUCAUCAACAUGUUUUAUUGAUAGCAUGUGAACCCUUACUUAAGCUGAUGACUAACUACCUUAUAUGCGUUGUAGGGAAACAAUGGGGAGCACUGAGGUUUACAAUCGAGGUUAGCACGUGCAUGGUCCGUUGUCUAAUAGCACAUUAUUGUGCAAUUGCAGGAACCUUUCUAAUAUUUAGUUUUUUAACAAUUUGGUCUUGCACAUGUAGGUCCUGCUGUCAGAGGUUUUGACCCACUGUUCGACCCCUUUUGCAUAUGGGUAAAUGAGUUGUACAUCAAUAUUAGUCAAGUCAAGAAACUUAGAGAGGUUGUUAGGAUAAAGAAAUUAGCGACAAAAAACAACAAGAUCUUUGUCUGCACAAUGAAGAAGACAUCAGUUCACUACAGGAUGGUACUAACUAUUAUACCUUGCCUUUUUAUUCCUUUGCCCCAUUUCCAAUAUAGAGAAGAUAUUUAUGCACAUCCUUGUUUUCAAGCCUUUCCAAAGCAGUUCACUAAUGAUUACCUCUCAAACCACCUGUAUGGUCAGGAGGCGAGGAAGGUAUUCAUACAACACCCACAGUUCAAUAUUGAAGUGUUCCUGAAGAGGACGGAGGAUCGACGGUCAAUCAUCCACAUGCACUGGCUUAAAGUUACAAAGACCUUCAACAUCAAUGAAGGCUCAAUAUUCGCCUUCUGCUUCAGCAGUUUUCCAGAUGAGAUACAUCUGUCUAUGUACCAUCUAUGAUGCUAAUUUCGAAAGGUUAUAGAUGUUGCACGUGAAACUUGGUGCUGGUGUAGUUGUGUAAUGGGGUAGCUGAGUCCUGAAGCUAUAUGAUGUUGUACUCUGAUGUAUUUCAAUUAUGAAAAUGAAAUAUAUUGUGUGCUUAAUAUGAAAUGUCAAUUAGAUUAAUAAAUGGAUUAUUAAUAAUCAGAUAAUUAGCCUGCUAAUUGGGUUUUUCUAUUGCAAACAAUUAUUGAGAAAACACCAUGUGUGAUGCAUUCAAUAACGCACACAAUUUCUAGGAGUAAACCGUGUUGGAUCAAUGAAUAAUCACACACGACCUUCUCUUGAAAACUGUUUGCAUUAGGCCACCUUGCGCAAACGUUUACGACAUAAAAACUGUGUGUGAUGGACAACCUUUGCCACACAGUUUUUUCUACGCACCAUGUGUGAUGCAUUCAAUAACGCAAAUGAUAAAAUUGUCAAUAUCGUGUGCAAUGGCAACACUAUCACAAACGAUUUAAAGAGGAAAAUUGUAUGUGAUGUACCUGUGAACGGAAACGUUUUCCUUGAAGCGACUAUGUGGGAUGUACAUACAAACAGAAACGUUUAGCGGGAAUUGACUGUGUGGGAUGUACUUGCGAUCAAAAACAAUUUCGCCUGUAUAAUUGUAUUUUUUUAGCUCUAUUGUACGUAUUUCCGUACUUGAGCGCUCGCCGGUCGCACACGAACUCAUUUUGCCGAGCAUGUGUGCCAGGAGGGCAUAUACCCGAUGGUUUUUGGGUCGUGUGGGAAGGACCCCCCUAUCGCCGUCACUUACUAGGUAACGGUUCCAAAUGCCGUCGCGGAAAGGGGUUAAAAACCGUUUGUAUAGCACCUCGCUGUACUAGUGACUAGUAAUGAGACUUCUCCCACGUCCUCAAGAACAAGUAGAACUACUCACAACUCAUCAUAUUGAUCAUGAUCAAUGGUUAUAAAUAUAUGUUUAACAAUCUUAACAUAACAAUAUUCCACCAUUUAAACCAACUAGCAUCAACUACGAGAUGUAAUCAACACUACUAGCACCCCCAGGUACCAAUCUGAGGUUUGAUACAAAGAUUAAGAAUGAAAGAUGAACUAGAGUUUUGAGAUGAGAUGGUGAUGAUGAAGAUGAUGAUCCCAUGAUGAAAGGAGUGUUGGUGAUGAUGAAGGCUUCGAUUUCCCCUUCCCGGAGGAAAGUUUCCCCUGCAAAAUUGCUCCAUCGAAGAGCAAAAGUGUGUCGCCUCGCAGAUGGCGGCGGAAAGUCCUCAGAAUUUUGUUUGAUUUCGUCAAGGGUAAAUGGAAUUGAUGGCCAAAGGGCAUCGGGAGGCGAGGCACCAUGGCCCCAAAUGGGCAGGGGUGCAGCUAGGGGGUAGGCCGCGCCACCUGUCCAUGUGGCUGCCUAGUGGGUCCCUAAUAACCCACAAGUAUAGGGGAUCGCGACAGUUUUUGAGGGUAGAGUAUUCAACCCAAAUUUAUUGAUUCGACACAAGGGGAGCCAAAGAAUAUUUGUAGGUAUUAGCAGUUGAGUUGUCAAUUCAACCACACCUGAAAGACAUAAUAUCCGCAGCAAAAAAAUUAGUAGCAAAGUAGUAUGAUAGUAACGGUAACAAUGGCAAUAGUAGCAGUAGCAGUUUUGUAGUGAUUGUAGGAGUAGCAGCAAUGAAAGUAACUUAGCAAAGAUCAAUAUGUGAAAAGCUCGUAGGCAUUGGAUCAGCGAUGGAUAAUUGUGUUGGAUAAUAUUCAUGAUGUAGCAGUCAUAACCUAGGGCAACACAGAACUAGCUCCAACUCAUCAAUGUAAUGUAAGCAUGUAUUCCGUAUAUAGUCAUACGUGCUUAUGGAAACAAACUUGCAUGACAUCUUUUGUCCUACCCUCUGAUGACCCACAAGUAUAGGGGAUCAAUUGUAUAUCUUUUCGAUAAGUAAGAGUGUUGAACCCAAUGAGGAGCAGAAGGAAAUGACAAGUGGUUUUCCGUAAGGUAAUGUCUGCAAGUGUUGAAAUUGUAAGUAGCAGAGUAGUUUGAUAGCAAGGUAAUUUGUAACGAGCAAGUAACGAUAGUAGUAACAAAAUUGCAGCAAGGUAGCCCAAUCCUUUUGAGGCAAAGGACAGGCCAAAAUGGUCUCUUAUGAUAAGCAAAGCAUUCUUAAGGGUACACGGGAAUUUCAUCUAGCCACUUUCAUCAUGUUAGCUUAAUUCGUGUUUGGUACUUUGAUAAUUUGAUAUAUGGGUGGACCGGUGCUUAGGUGAUGUUCUUACUUGAACAAACCUCCUACUUAUGAUUAACCCUCCCGCAAGCGUCCGCAACUACGAGAAAAGUAUUAAGAAUAAAUUCUAACCAUAGCAUUAAACUUUAUGUUCAGGCCAAUAGAUGCGCUCGGGCUGAAGAAGGGAGGAAGUACCCCGGCAAAUAUGCCGGCGUGGAAACUGAUUCCACAGAGGAAGAUGCCGUCGCCCCAGCAAAGAAGGGCCGACGCUACAAUAGGAAGCGUAAGGGCAAGACCGUGCUUGCCGUCGAGGGAUCCAGCGACCCCGGCGCCGCUAAGAAGGCCAAGGUUGAUGACUCCAACAAAGAAGUUGCUGGGUGCGCCGCCUGCCGAGCCUUGGCGGCUGCCGACAAGCUGGGAGGCUCCGACAAGCAGUACUGCAAGAUCCACUGCACCAAGGGCCAUGACCUCCAGAAUUGUCGGUAGGUUGAGCUGCUUGCAGAGAAGCAGAAAGCUGAGUAUGAGAGGCGCGAUAAGGAGAAGGGCCAAGAUGGUGCUGAGGCGUCCGGCAAGAAGCGUGGCGGUCGAGGAGGUCACCGCGACAAAGACAAUCAACAAGAGAGGCCCACUCGGGGCCACAACAAGAAGGAGGGAGACGAUGAUCAUGAUGAGGACGACGAGUCCGGCGAGCAUGAGUUCCAAAAAGCUACGAAGGCCAUGUGCGUCGACGGUGGCGCCUCAUUGCACACCUCUCACCGCCAACUGAAGCAGUGGGCGCAUGAAGUCACUGCAGAGGAGCCAUCGUUCGAUGCCUAGAGGUUGCUAAAGUGGUCCAACACGCCUAUCAUUUUUGACACCGAGGAUCACCCUGAUCGCACAACUGCGGUUGGGUAUUUGCUGUUGUUGGUUUCACCAACAAUAUGCAACCUCAAGGUGACGAAAGUGCUAGUUGACAGUGGGGCCGGUCUGAACUUGAUCUCGCCCGCCGUGAUCGAGAGGCUGCAAAUCCUCGAUGGAGAUCUCUAGGAGACGGAAGCGUCCCAAGGGGUCAACCCAGGGAGGAGUCAGUCGAAGGGUAAGAUCACAUUGCCCGUUACAUUUGGGGGCGAGUUGAACCAUAGGACGGAGAAGGUUGUUUUUUAUGUUGCCAAGAUCCCCUUGCCCUAUAAUGGGAUCCACGGCCGCCCAGCGCUGGCCAAGUUUAUGGCGGCAUCACAUUACGCCUACAACACGUCGAAAAUGCCCGAGCCAAUGAGCAUCAUCAUCGUCCCCUCCGCUAGGAAAGAUGCGCUCAUCUGCGCCGGCCAGCUUUACCGGGAGGCAGUUGCAGCGGCUGCCGCCAAGGCACCUGUUCCCGCCACUGAGACCCUGGGAGGGAAGAAAACCGGCAAGAUCUCUACUCCUGCCGGCAAGGCCCCUUUCGGCAAGACUGCUGACCCCAGCAAGGACUCCUACGCCCCCUCCCGCAAACACGCCUCUUCGGAGUGCCGUGUUCCCAUUGAGGACAUGCCAGGAAGUUCAGCUAGCGGGAGUAAGAGGUCCAAGGCAGCCCCACCAGAAACCAAGAAGGUUCCCGUCAGAGAGGAUGGCACGGGUGGAGCUUUUACCAUAAGCUCCACCCUUGAAAGCAAAUAGGAAAGUGUGUUCAUCACCUUCCUGCGGGUGAAUAUUGACGUGUUUGCACGACAAGCAUCCGACAUCCCCGGCGUUCCCAGGGAGGUGAUUGAGCACCACCUUGUUGUCUGUCCCCAUGUGUGGCCUGUCAAGCAGAAGGUCAGGAAGCAAGCUUUGGAGCGACAAUGGUUCAUCAUCGAGGAGAUCAGGAAGUUGGAGGCAACAAGCUUGGUCAGAGGAGUUCUCCACCCCACGUGGUUGGCCAAUCCAGUGAUGGUGCAUAAGGCAAAUGGGAAAUGGAGGCUGUGUAUUGACUAUACAGAUAUCAAUAAAGCAUGUCCAAAGGAUCCUUUCCCUCUACCACACAUUGACCAGAUAGUGGACUCCACUGCCGGGUGCGACCUGCUGUCGUUCCUUGAUGCCUACUCAGGAUACCACCAGAUCUUCAUGAUGAAGGAAGACAAAGAAAAAACUGCGUUCAUCACCCAAUGUGGCACGUACUAUUUUGUGCGGAUGCCUUUCGGGUUGAAAAGCGCCGGUUCGACAUUUGCCCGAGCAGUCCAAAUUGGUUUCGAGCCCCAGCUGCAUUGAAAUAUGGAAGCUUAUAUGGAUGAUAUAGUGGUCAAAACCAAGGACAAGGCCACGCUCAUGCAGGAUCUGGAAGAAACAUUUGCAAACCUGCGCAAGAUCAACCUCAAGCUCAACCCAGAGAAGUGUGUGUUCUGCGUCCCAUCCGGCAAACUUCUUGGGUUCUUUGUGUCUCAACGCGGAAUCGAAGCAAAUCCUGACAAGAUCAAAGUGAUUGAGAAAAUUGAGGUGCCAAGACGGGUCAAAGACGUCCGUAGAGUUGUCGGCUGCAUUGCUGCUCUAAGUAGGUUCAUCUCGAAAUCUGCUGAGCGCGCCCUCCCCUUUUUCAAAGUUUUGAAAAAGGUAGGUCCAAUGAAAUGGACUCCGGACACUACAAAAAAAAGACACACCGUGACAUUUUGGGCCGAACGAAAAUUUUUCUGUCAUACAUAUGACACUUCUAUGACGAUAACUAUGACAAAACCCAGUAUCAUCAUAGAUGUGGUGGGCUCCUACUUCUAUGACAAAAAAUCAUGACAAAAAAUGGGCUUUUCGUCCUGGGCGGGCCGGAGACGCAGCUGCAUGACAUUCUUUGGGCCGUCCAUGACGGAAAAAACCGUGGUAGAAGUGAGGGGGAGGAAAAUUUCGGGGAGUUCUCGGUUACGGUGGGAGGUCGGGGGCCGAGCGAUGCGCGUUUCUCUUGUACACGUACGCGCGUGUGUGCGAGGCAUUGGCUCUAACUGAACCCGAGCGAGGCGUUGGGCUCUAACUGAACCCGAGCGAUUGCACUGUAGGCUACGCAUUACUGAACCCGAGCGAUCGAUGGCUGUUAACUGAACCCGAUCGAGCGAUUCCUUCGCUAUUGCUGCUAACUGAAGCCGAUCGAUGGGAUGAACAGUGAGCGUUGUGGGGGGGUUUGGAUGAACAGUGAGCAGUCGCGUUGCCUCUGGAUGAACAAGACCCCAUGGUGUGGUGGAGGGCUGGAUAAACAGUAGACGGUGGAGGGGUGCCCGUGGAGGGGUGGAUGAACAGGACCCCGUGGUGUGGAGGGCUGGAUGAACAGUAGACGGUGGAGGGGUGGUUGAACAGGACCUCAUGGUGUGGAGGGCUAGAUGAACAGUAAACGGUGGAGGGGUGGUUGAACAGUAGCCGGUGGAGUAGCACGCGGUGGAGGCUAGAUGAACAGGAGCUCGUGGAGGCUGGAGGAGGUCGACGGUGGAGAUGAACAGUAUCCCGUGGAGUCCCGUUUUGCGGUAUGCCACACCCCUCCCGAUGAACAGGACCCUCGUUUCGACCGUAGCGCUCCAACACAAAUCUGUUUCGUCCGUUUUGCGGUAUGCCACACCCCUCCCGAUCAACAGGACCCCCGUUUCGACCGUAGGAGGUCCGUUUCCUCCGUUUUGCGGUACGCCAGACCCCUCCCGAUGAACAGGAUCCCGUUUCGAACAUGGCCGGUCGAACACAAGGCCGUUUCCUCCGUUUUGCGGUACACCAGGCCUCGUUUCCAUCACCUGUUCUGUCCAAGCCCUCCCGAGGAACACGACUACGCAUUCCGUUCCGACCCAGCCGGUUGGCUCCCACGCGUUCCAUUGCCUCCCCAUGAACACGACGCAUACCAUUGCCUCCCCAUGAACACGACGCAUUCCGUUGCCUCCCCAUGAACACGACGCAUUCCGUUGCCUCCCCAUGAACAUGACGACGACGCUGUUUCUUCGUUCCACCCAGCCAUGUACACGAGCCCUGGCCGUACAUAUGCGCAAGUAGGCGUUCGAGACCCCGCCCGUAUGUACACAUAUGUGACCGUAUUUUCUUUCUUGCACCAUGGCCGCUAUACGUACGUGUACAUGCUACGUGCGCGCCUCUACUACGACACGUGCGCGCCUCUACAUCGACCAGUAUGUACGUACAUGUUCGCGACCAGAAUGACAACGCUAUGCACACUUCGACCAGGUGGGUCCCGACUGUCAGGCACUUCCUUGCCUACGAAGAUGUAGCUGGUGGGUCCCAGCAGUCAGGGGGCGAAUCAUUUUGUUUUUUGCCCAGACGCACUUCCUUGCGUGCGAAGAUGUAGCUGGUGGGUCCCAGCAGUCGGGGUCCUGGUGGGUCCCAACAGUCAGGGGGGCGAAUCAUUUUUUUCGGACGCACUUCCUCGCGUGCGAAGAUGUAGCUCAUGGGUCCCAGCAGUCAGGGGGCGAAUCAUUUUUUCGCGAAAUACGGUGGCCCGUCUAGUGGGUCCCCGCUGUCAGGUGGAGGAAUAAUUAUUUUGCGCAUUAUAAGGAGGCACUUCCUUGCGGCUGCCGUGGACCCAGCUGUCAACCUCUCCACGUACAGUACUCUUCCGAUGGAAGUCGGUCAUUGACCACGUUGACCAUGCCGCGCCGAGAGCACCAGGGCGGUGGUCUGGACGACGGCGAGGCCUAGGAAGGGGAUGACGCGGAGCCAGGGAAGACGCAGCAGUGGAAGCCCGCGCGGAGAGGAUUACGAGGGUUCACUGGUUCGGUGUGGUGUGAGGCUGCCGUCGCCGCAGAAUAACAGGGGGUGUGGGUGAGUAGAGGGAUGGCCUGGCCAGCGGUGGGAGUAGUACGUGGCAGUGAGGCCUCCGCGGCAUCACAGCCGGCCACGGGAGGCAGGAGCACACGACACGACCGGCGCUGCUUUGGGCGGCUGGAGCAAGAAGACCAGUGGUUGAAGAAUCACUACGGCCGUUGGAUGGACAUCAUACGAUCACUGCAGCUAGAAUCGUUUAUAUUGACUAAGUUGACAAAGCCCUUGGUACGCCUUAACUUAGUAGGCACACAGCUCGGAUUUGGCAGAGAACAUAUAGCCCAUUUGCGAUUUGUAAGAAUGUACAGCCCAUUUUUUAAUUCUAAUGGAAUUUACUACAUCCCAUUUACAGUUUGUUAAAAGUACAGCCCAACUUCUAGCUAGGACAAUGAUUAAUAAUUUCAAACAACCGCUCAAAAUAGAAUUCAAAAACAAUUCCCACAUUUUGAUGGGAUCCGAAAUAUUUGUAUCCGAAAUUUCUAGUCAGCUUAAAUAUAAUUUUAAAAUAAAGUUGUAUUACGUUAAAAUCCAAUGAAAUAUUGCGCGCGCAACAAGUAAUGAAAUUAAAAUUUUCAAAUUCCAAAAAUAAUAUAUUUUUCAAACUAAUUACGUGUUUGGUGCAUAGUAAUUGUCCAGUUAUUAUAAUUACAUCUCAUUUAUUAUUUCUUAAAUUCCAUUUUUUUGGUAAGCCUAAUGCAUACCUCCUAGAAAAGUUUGCAGCCCAGCGGGGCGGAGAAUAACAAGUUGACCCGGAUAUUGUGUACAACUGUCGGCCCAGUUGCAUUGCUGAUGUUGAAAAAAAGUUAAUUUUUAUGCACACAUUAAAAAAAUGUAUAGAUAAGGAACAUUUUUUAUACACACAUUUAACAAUUUUUAAAUACAUGAUUAACACUUUUUAAAACAUAUUUUUUUGUCAACAGUGGGCCCACAGCGAGCGGAGGAGGUCACAAUACACAUAUUUUUUAAAUACAUGAUUAACAUGUUUGCAAAAACAAUUAGCCCACAAUGAGCCAAUUAGCUCCAGUCAGCCCAGAGUGGCCCGACAGGGGCCAGUCGGCCAGCUGUAGGCCGACUGGAAUCCAGUCGGCCUGCUCUGGGCCGACUAGGCCCAUUCGGCCUGCAACGGGCGGACAGUGUAUUAUUUUUGAAAAAAAUUUACCCAGCGUAAUAUUUAUGAAAGUUAAUAAAAAAUGUAUUAUUUAAGAAAAAAUAGCGAAAAAAGCCUGUGUAGUACAGUACAGCCUAACAUGGUUACUCAGCCCACAUUCAGCGACGCCGGAAAGGCCCAAACAAGGCUUUUGUACAACUUUUUGAAGUCACUGAGCUCAAUUAAUAACUUAAGAAAAAAGUUAGAUUACAGUGGAACCUAAUUAAAAGCUGUCACGAGCAAAUAAAUAAUUCAACGGAUCCCACUUGUGCGUGUGCAUGCACGUGCGCGCGCGCGCGCGUGUGUGAGAGAGAGAGAGAGAUAGAGAGAGAGACCCAUCGGUCGAUGCUCGUAAAUACAUCUUUCAGCCAUAUGCGUUGCUGAUGCUCACUAAAAACUUAUAUAGUUGAGACAAUCAUAUAGAAUACCAUAACACACUGAACUUGCAUACAAAAAUUUCACGCAGGCGGCACAAUCAGGAUGGAAGCAGUGGAUCGCUACGAGAAGGGCUAUGUUGAAACCAAUGAAGUCGUACAUAACGGUUCAUCGUCUUUAUCAAUGACGGGGAAAUAUCUUGAAUGUUGUGCAAAGAAAAUAGACAGACAACACAAUAAGUUCUCCUAGCACAUUAAGUUGACGUAUAACCCUUUCUAAAAAAAGUUCAGGUACAAAAUUAGAACAAGUCACAAUCAAAUGUACUGGCAUAUCAGUGCUUCACACCCAUAGCUUGGAUUUAACUAGUAUCUGACAAGAUUCAGUUGUUACCUCAAAUUAGAGCACAUCCAGGCAGCCAGCCCUGCCUCUUCUCCCAAAGAAGUAGUGGCCUCCGCCGCGCGGUGGAGUAGGCCUUAUGCCAUCCAUCAUUCCGAGCAACACGGGGAAAGUCUGACGUUGACUCCUGUAAUGGACGUCGUCGAUGGACCCUGGCACCAGCGGUGGCGGCAGGACUUUGAUUGAUGGAUUGACCAUUUCUUCGACAUGCACGAACACUCGAUACAGGUACAUCCCUAACAUGGUCCGCGGCAGCCUUGGUGGCGACGAAUAGUACAACCCCGGUUCCUGCACCGGUAUCUCAACACCAAUCACCUUCGGUAUGGUGGACGACUUCUUCAUACAUGCCAUAACCGUCAGAGCCCAGCUGUCUGGAGGAACAAACAUACUUACGAGCUCACCUCCAAGGUCGUUGAUAAGCUCGUUCAUGGACUCGCUAUUCCAAGCACAUCGAGGCAUGCCGUGGAAGGUAAGCUUUGUCAAAAACUCAAGCUCAGAGGGCACCGAGCCCCAUCCUGGGUGCCACCGAUCAAAGCUCACCAGCGCGCCAUCGCAGAACAAACGCCGGGAAGAUUCGAACACACGACUGCAGUCGAAAGUUGUCCGGAACCUAACGAAGAAAUCAGCCGGUGGCGGACAAACUUCAACGAACAAGUCACUUAUUUGGAUGCCGCGUGCAAUGCCAAGAGCUUUGACAAGGUUAUCCGGCGAGAAGGGAGGCCGGUCGCCGUUGAUGGUUACCAUCAGCACUUUGCCGGCAAACUGGUCGUCAAGCGCCGCCAUGCCACUGUUGAGCGACAGCAUGCAGCGACCGAAGGCGGGACGGACCUCAGGAUCUCCGGCUCGGAGAUCCGCGUUGACCGACGACAUGAUAGUGCGCUUGAGUACAGGGAGUACAAGAGGGGGAUUUUGGGGAACUGGAGUAGGAAUCGAGAUUCCAGAGGUGGGGGAGGGUCGGGAGACUCUGGAUGAAAAGGUAGGACGAAUUUCGAGCACGCGCCAAUAUGCUCUCGGCACGCAAGCGCACGAAAACACCAGUGGCGCCCACAUGUCGGCCUAAGAGUCCUUAUUCAUUCUUUUUUGGAGAGCCCGGCCUUUUUUUCAGGAUCUUUUGAGAGCCCGGUCUGAGAGUCAUAAUUGACCUGUUUGGCAUUGCGUUACUACUCGGCCCAUAUUCAACGACACCUCACUGGCCCAAACAAGUGUACAUCAUCGAAAAGACAUUGAGCUCAAAUUAUAUAACUUGAGAAAAGGAGAUAUACUCUGAACACUGGAGAAUGGUGAUGCCCUCAUUUAGCCCACCACUAGUUCGAGACAAUAAACAGUUCGAAACAACAAUAUAUACAACAUUCAAACACUGACUAGUGACUACUACUGACAUAAACAGCAAGACAUGAUAGUUCAUAAGAAGUCUUGCUACACCACCAAAACGCACCCAUCUGCAGCGCUCAGAUUCUCGUGAUCCAGGCGAGAAUGACAUUCUAAAAAGAAGCAACUAUUACAUAGUAAGAGUGACAUAGACGAGGAUGACCAAAUGACAAGGAAUAUGCAUAACAAAAGAAAGAACUACCCAUCCAGAAAUGGAGGGGCGCCUUUAUAUGAGGGCAAUGAGGGCAAACUGCUUUGCAUUCACAUCGUGCAGCCUCUUUUCCCGGACCUCCUCCCAUUACUUCCCUCAUGCAUUAAUUGAAGAAGGAUGCAUUGGCCGUUCAACAUAUCGGGAACUGCUACUCCCUCCCUCAUCUGCAUUAAAGUCGUAUCGGGAAAUGCGCCGCCCGCUGUCAAAUCGAGUACUCCCUCCGUCUAGGUGAGUACUCCCUCCUUUCCGGUUUAUAAGGCUCAAUUCAAAAAUCUCAUCAACCAAGGUAGAUGAUGAGUGGUGGAAUAUUUUUUGUAGUUUGCAAAAGCACCCAAUAAAUGCUCUUGUUUUCCUCAAAAAAUUAUGUUUACGAAUGCAUUAAUUGCAAUGCAUGCAUGCAUAAAGUGCAUGCAUUGGUCAGUUUUCUCUUAAUACUUGCAUGCAAUGACUUAAUGCACCUUGAAGUAUGAACAUGUGAUGGGGAACAACCAAAUUGAGCCUUAUAAAAUGGAAAAACUAAAAUUUUGAGAUAAGCCCUAUAAACCGGAAAGGAGGGAGUAUUAAGUCAUCUUACGAAAACCAAAUAGUAAACACAUAGGCGUGGUGCAUUAACUCUCACAUUGUUUCUUAUUUUUUGACAUAAAUAGAGGAAUCAACCAAGAAGAUAUGUGGGGCUUGUAUGCUUUUAAUGACUUGAGACUAUCAAACAUGACAUGCAGUGGUCAGUUCAUUGCACAAAACAAAUACAACCCACGUCAGCACACACACACAUCUUAUAUAGCUUCACAUCCAAUGGCUAUAAAAGAUGAAUGCGACCAAAUUAUAUCUCAUCUAGAUGAGUUCUAGCAAAACUGUAUUAAUAAUACUUAGUACUCCUGCGCCAUGUAUCAUAUAUUAGUAUCAUGUAGUACUUUAUUUAUUUAUGAGGUAUCCAGAUGGCACUGCACUGCCAAGAAAAGAGGGUAACAUCAAAAUUAUGGACUACUUUUUUGAGUAUGUUGGUAAGGUCCGGUCAUAGUCACUUGUUGAAAUCUCUAAAAAGACAAAUACUCCCUCCGUCCGGAAAUACUUGUCAUCAAAAUGGAUAAAAGGAAAUGUAUCUAGAUGUAUUUUAGUUUUAGAUACAUCUCUUUUUAUCCAUUUUGAUGACAAGUAUUUUCGGACGGAGGGAGUAGAAAACAGAGUUGGUGAUGAUGGUGUGUGUGCCAUCCUGCAAUAUAGGCCGUCCGAUUUAUAUCUAAUGGAUAGGAAAGAAACUAUGGCAAUUUUGCAAAAAUAUACCCACACGUCUCUCCACGUUCGCAAAUAAGACCUUCCCUCAUUCAACCUUUUCUCUCACAAGAUAAACUACUCAUACAAAUGCAUCUUGAUGUUCCGUGCAACACACGGGCAGCUAGCUUAUUUCUUUUAAAAUAGUUGCUGCGAUAAUUGGGUUGAAGUGAUAUAUUUUAUGUCUGCCCCGUAUGAUUUCAGAUUCACUAGUAGUAACAAAGAAAAGGUUGCCUUGUUAAUUAACAGAAAACAGGGUGAAAACUAUCACAUGAGGCCGGUAAAAACAAGGCACACUGGGUUCAGCGUCAUCGUCACUACAACUAUGCGCGCGCGAGAAGUCUACAUAUCGAGGGGGCUACCGAGCGAGGCACUGAGACACAAUGUUUGAGAGAGNNNNNNNNNNNNNNNNNNNNNNNNNNNNNNNNNNNNNNNNNNNNNNNNNNNNNNNNNNNNNNNNNNNNNNNNNNNNNNNNNNNNNNNNNNNNNNNNNNNNNNNNNNNNNNNNNNNNNNNNNNNNNNNNNNNNNNNNNNNNNNNNNNNNNNNNNNNNNNNNNNNNNNNNNNNNNNNNNNNNNNNNNNNNNNNNNNNNNNNNNNNNNNNNNNNNNNNNNNNNNNNNNNNNNNNNNNNNNNNNNNNNNNNNNNNNNNNNNNNNNNNNNNNNNNNNNNNNNNNNNNNNNNNNNNNNNNNNNNNNNNNNNNNNNNNNNNNNNNNNNNNNNNNNNNNNNNNNNNNNNNNNNNNNNNNNNNNNNNNNNNNNNNNNNAUAUAUUAUUAUCAAGAUCGAUGUGCCACCCUACUCCUUCGGUGCCGGGUAGUGUGUGUGUGUGUUUGAGAGAGAAGCCAGUCGAUAGAUUAGUAUCAAGAUCGAGGUGUCACCCUACUCCUUCGGUGUUGGGAAGUGUGGGUGUGUGUGUGGGGGGGGGCAGUGACACUCACAUAUCUCUACUCUUAUAAAAACAGAGUUGGUGAUGAUGGUGUUCCUACCAUCCUGCAAUAUAGGCCAUCCAAUUUAUAUCCGACAGACAGGAAGGAAACUAUGGCAAUUUUGCAAAAAGAUACCCACACCCCUCUCCGCAUUUGCAAAUAAGGCAUUCCCUCGUUCAUCCUUUUCUCCCACAAGAUGAACUUCUCAUACAAACACAUCUUGAUGUUCCGUGCAACACAUGGGCAUCUUGCUAGUAGGGAGAAGAAGUUUGUGUGACACAUAUCUAGCUAUAUUAAGGGAUAGGUAGAUAGCAUAUGUGUGAGAGACAUUAGUGGCUGUGGGUGGGCGAAAUUAAAGGGGUGGGCGUGUUAGACAUAGAGAGCGUGUGUGUUUCUGUGUGAGAGACUUGUAGGACGGGGUAGAAAGACGAAUUUAACCCUGACGGAGGGAGAGAAAUACAUGAAGUGCGUGUGUGUGAUUCCGAUGCCCAUAGGGAAAUGAGAUAUGUAUGCGUGUGAGAGAGAUUGCACAAUUCAUUCAUGUAUCACUAUCUAGCGAUCGUGGACAUGCAUCGCUUGAACAUAAGUCAAUAUCUACUUCGUAUCGUGGCCAAAGGUACAAUAUCGAUUCAACGAUAUAAAGAUUGGACACUCACCUAUCACAUUUUUUCUAUUUAAAUAAGCCUUUUUUGUUGUGCAUGCCAAAGUUACAGUGAUGUUUCUUCAAACAACCAAUGUAGCUAUCAUGAACAUGCACCAUUGUUACUCUUGCAUUCAAAUUCAUUAGUCUUGGAUGAUUUAAGUUUCUAUUUUGAAGUAAUAUAUGUAAUAUUCAUAUAUGAAUUCAACGGGUACGCAAUUUAUGAAAUGGAGGCUAUGUAAUCAUAUGAGGUAACACUUUUAAGUAGCUGACUACAAUAUCCAUUUCUUUUUGUGCGCCUCUACACUAACACGUCAAUGCAUUAUGUUUAAAGUAAAUAACCAAUGGCACUACAUUAUCUGUUUACACGAGAAAUACAUAGGCUGAGCAUUUGAUUCCUUUUUUUGUGAACGCGCCACUACACCCGUACGAUUGGUCGCGCCCGUGUGAAUGUCCAAGUUAUCGGUGCAUCAUCUCGAGUUAUUGUCUUUUUUCUGGGGUGGACUUCACACCCGUUCUUAACUGCUGACGCGUGUACACAGUCUAGCAUGAACUUCCCGCUAGCACGGUCCAAAAUUAGUUGAAACUGGAUAUGAACGAUCCCGCGGGCGGUAAAAUUUCCCGCCUCCUUCUAAAAUUUCUGCCACCUUAGUCUUUAGCAUGCGAAAUCCCCCUUUUGUCCUUGGUGAACGGAGACCAACAGUUACAAUACCGCCCUCAUCUACAUGAUAGGCCGGGGCUGCUUUGGUAACUUCCGGUCCCCCCACUACACGACACCCCCAUUUUCUCUCCCCCUCCCGCAAAAACGACUAACUCCACAGCACCAGAGCAUCUUACAUCACGCCGUCCGUACUUCAUCGCCCUUUCUCCCCUCCCAUCUCGAAACCCUAGACUGCUCAUCCACCGGCGUACCAUAGCCCAUUCACUGCCAGCGGCGUCCACCUCGCCAGAUCUGCUUCUGCGGCCGCAUCUACCCCUCCCACCUCCCCUAGAAACAAGUAGACUGCUCAUCCACCACUGUACCACAGCCCAUUCAGUGUUGGCCUUGUCCACGACGCCAGAUCUGCUUCGCCGGUACUCUCGUCAACCACCGCGCAUCUGCAGUGGCUCAUUCGUACUUCCCACCGGAGACGCUUCGUCCACACCCCCCGGAGCCGCCCCACCGACGCCCCCGUCGACGGCCUCUGAUCCUCUUCGCCGACACCUUCCUCAACCCUACCGGAGCCGCUUCGCCGACACCUUCCUCAACCCUACCUGUGUAGCUUCGCCUAUACCAUUCUUAAUCCUACUGGGGCCGCUUUGCCAACUCACAAGUCCAUGGCCUCAGAUCCGCUUCCUCGCACCCUCAUCCAACCUACCAGAGCAGUUUCUAACGCCCCAUCCACGGCCACAGAUCCGCAUCGUCGACACCACCCUUAACCCAACCACCGGAGCAGCUUCUGACGCCCCGUCCACGACCGCAGAUCCGCAUCGUCGACACCAUCCUUAACCCAACCACCGGAGCAGCUUCACCUACACCCUCGUCCACGGCCAUAGAUCCGCUUCGCCCACACCGUAGUCCACCCUACCGGAGCCGCUCCACAAACACCCUACUCGACGGUUCUAGAUCUCCUUACCGGAGCCCGACAGCCAGCGCAGCGUCAUCACCCUCAAUGUUUCUAACCUGAUUCCCACAGUCUGGAGAGAUGUAAAGCACCCGCCACGGCCUAGGUACUUGUCACCUUUAAACCCGUCCAGCAUCACCUGCCCGAUGUACUUCAAAUAUACUAACCGGUCGCUGUUACCUGUUAUGUAGCUGGCAAAAACUACAAGGACGAUGUUUCUUCUGGAUCUAACAGCUUGGCCAACCAAGAUCCUGGACUGAGGCAUUGCUAUGAUCUUGUAAGCGCGUCUCUCUCUCUUGUACUGUUCUGUGCCUGCCAGCGUGCUUUGCUAGGAUUUUUGACCAGUAAUCCCUUUGUGCAGACAAUGAUUUCUACUACUGGCUGCAAAUUAGAUAUGUAGAUGUCAUACAUGAUACUACCUCAUACCUCCGUUCCUAAAUAUAAGUCUUUCUAGAGAUUCCACUAUAGGCUACAUACAGAGCAAAAUGAGUGAAUUUACACUCGAAAAUGCAUCUAUAUACAUCUGUAUGUGGUCCAUACUGGAAUUUCUACAAAUACAUAUAUUUAGGAACAGGGGCAGUACAUUACACAAAAUCGUAGGUGGCAUGUAGGAAUUCCAGUGAACUACAUUAGGCUCCCUUAGAGUGCCUGCUAGUCCAGCAUACAAAGUCAUGGCUAGUUUAUGGUACGCACACAAUCGUUAAUUGGUGGUUUAAAUAUGCGCAAGGGAUAUGCAAUGUAGUAUCAUGUAGAGAUGUCUAAAAUUAGCCGUGUCAACUUGCAGAUAGGGUUACACAAUGAAAAAGUACAAGAUGUAUGUGGCAAUUUCAUGGAACAUCGCAAAAAAAGGAGAGGCAGCGGUGAGCCUAUAAAGUGUGCCAUGGUACAUCACUCCUCCAUUGCAAUCAUUGUGACAUAUUAUUUGUAUGCCAGUUCUAUUAGCCAAGUUUCUUAGGGACAGUUAUUACGAGUUAUCCUAAGAAAAUAAGCACCUGUGAAUAUAAGCUCCAUGUAAUAAGCCAACCAGUUCUUUUCAUUGUGUUUUCAGCUUAUCUUUGGUAUGAUCAGUGGAAAGUCUAGAUUGCAGUAUAUUUUUUCAUUUUGCUGCCCAUAUGGAAAUUAAUUUGACUUGCAAACAUCACAAAUUGAACCCAGUGCAGUAUAAUAUGAUAGGACAAUAGACCAUCACUAUUUGCUCAAAAUGCAAAUACAAAGAUACCAUCUACUUGGCACAAUCUACUUUGGUCAAUGUUUUCCAUAGAGAUCCCAUUGCCUAAUUUAAAUGAAGAACGCAUGACCCACAUUUAAAUGAAGAACAAUUAUUUAUUGAAAUUCGAUGGUCCAAGUGGCUGGUUAUUAUCGUAUAGCAGCACCACCUGAAAGCAUCAUAUAGCAGCAGCAACAGCUCAUAGCAACUCAUCAUACAACAACAGCAGUCUGCAAUUCAUCAUAUACCAGCAGCAGCUCAUAGCAAUUCAUCAUAUAGCAGCAGCGGAAGCAGCUCAUAGCAAUUCAUCAUAUAGCAGCAGCAGGAGCAGCUCAUAGCAAUUCAUCAUAUAGCAGCAGCAGGAGCAGCUUAUAGCAACUCAUCAUAUAGCAGCAGCAGGAGCAGCUUGUAGCAACUCAUCAUAUAGCAACAACAGCUCAUAGCAAUUCAUCGUAUAGUAGCAGCAGCUCAUAGCAACUCAUCAUACAGAAGCAACAGCUCAUAGCAAUUCAUCAUAUAGCAGCAGCAGGAGCAGCUCAUAGCAAUUCAUCAUAUAGCAGCAGCAGGAGCAGCUCAUAGCAAUGCAUCAUAUAGCAGCAGCAGAAGCAUCUCAUAGCAAUUCAUCGUAUAGUGGAAAGGGGAGAGGAGAUGCAAGCGGGCAGGGCAAUGAAUGCUUGCGUGUUUGUUUUUACUUGAGGGUCAGGUGUGACACGGGCGUCAGUAGUUGCAUUUUGAGUGUAAUAUAGGCAGACAACAGAGUCAUUUCACUAUUCCCCUUCCCUUCAAUUUUUAGUGAGGUUCUACCCGAAACACCCUCCUCCAAAGCAAAAUUAGUUAAGCCCAAGCCAUAACUCAAAAAUGACUUCUUUACAUCUUUUAUGGCUUAUUUUGACAAUAUGCCCUGAAAAGGCGGAAUCGAACUGGCCCUUAACCUGCAAUUCAAUUGUGCGUGCAAUGAUGAAUCACUCCUGCCUGCUAUCUAUACAUUUAGGCAUCAUCAUACAUGGCAUAACCUAAUACAUGUGCAUCCCAUUGUAGAAUUUGGAAUAUGCAAUGUUUAUGUUAGUUCAUAUGUUGCACAUGAUGUUUAAAUGCCCCUUAAAUCUGGUCAGUCAAGUGAUGGUCUUUAAGCCACCUUCUUUGCUUCUUUUCUUGAUAUGUAAGAUUUGCUCACACAUCUAUUCAAUUUCUUGUUUGCAUCAGCCAGCCAUACUAGGACUGUUUGCUUUGAUUACUUGCUGUUCUUGACAUAACACUUUAACAGAGCUUGUCAACAAUUUAAACACUAAGGGCUGCUGUAGUGGGGCCUUGUCUAACUCAUAGGUGACAUAAAGGUUUGGUUGUACACUACAGUAGGCUCUCCAAGAGUACCUGGAGAUCCAGUUCGAAGGUAUGCCUAGUUUUUACAUAGUGCAGACAUAGUAAAUGCUCAUUUCAUUGUGUGCAAGUGCAAGAGAUGCGGCAUGUUUCAUUAUGUGGUGUUGUUUUGUUAUAAUCUCAUUCUUUUGUGUUCACAGACUGGAAAGUAUGCAUAUUUAUCUUCCAAGGAGACGAGUAACUAGUUUGUGUCACCUUGCAGAUGGGGUGCAAUGAAGAUAAGAUUGAGGAUUUCCAAGUACAAGAUGUUAGGAAGGAGCCUUGCAAGAGAAGUAGGAGUUGUGCUGAGCCUCUUCAACCUGCUAAGGUAAGUCACUAUAUGCAACUCAACAGUUCAAUUCCUUGUUUGUUUCAGGCAUAGUUAAUUUUCUCUUUUCAAUUGCUUUAUUUGCCCAUAGUUAAUGAGAUGCCCAAAUAAUCAUGCCUGAUGUUCGGUACUGGUAUCACUAUUAGUUGACAUAAUUAAAGGCCUUACCAUUUAAUUACUCUGCCAAAGUGUGCCUAAAGCUUUGGAGUCUAUUAACCAACUAUUAUUGCAUGAGGCUCACAAUCUAGUUUAUACUACGCUAAUGAUUGCAUAGUUUUGCCUGCUGUAGUAUGUUUGUAUGAAACCCUCUGCUGUUUAUUAUGCUCCCUAAGACUUUAAUUGAGGCACAGAAUGACCAACUACUUGCUUACUUAUACGCAACGUGUUGUCUAAAUUUGUAACUUGUUUGUGUUUUCGAUUGGGCCCCAACAUCAUGCUCCUCUCAUGAGCUAAGAGGGAUUUCUGUAUGCAGGCUGCAUAGACUAUCUUUUUAUAAUUUUUAAAAUAUCACCUGCUUAUGCUUCAUGACGUGUAACAUUUUUUUGAAAGUGACAUGUAACAUUAUUGUUAGUCCUGUUUUGCCAUGUAGUACAAAACAGUGUCUUGUUCGCUUCACUGUUGUAACUAUAUUUUUGCCCUAGUCAUGUGUACUUACAGAAACAUUUCAGGAUGAAGUGACAUCAACACAAAGAUCUGCGAGCAGUGCGGCAUGGCCGUUACCGAAUGAUUAUGGAUUGGAAUUGGAAUGUGCUGAUGUUCUCGAGAAUCAACUAGAGGUGGCAAGACAACGUGUACAUGAUUGUCAACGUAUAAUCAACAAGUUGAGACUGGACAUGCAGGUAUUAGAUGCAGGAGUCAAAAAAUGAAACAAGACACUGAGGUAACCAUGAAGGAAUUGGAGAUUUUGCAGACUGAAAUUUGUGCUAUCUGAAUCCGGCCAAUCCUAUUUUCUGAAGAGAUUAUAGUUCAAAUGGAGUUAAGUUGAUGCGCGUCCAUGAUGUAUGAGCUGUAUUUGCCCAGUGUAUGUAAUUUGCUGUUUGUGUAUGCUUUAUUAUCACCUGUGCCGAACCAUAAUGCCCAGUGGGUAUAAUCGGCUGUAAUUUCUUUAUUAUAUAGUGUAGGAUUAUUCUACCUUUCUAUGCCUUGAUCUCUUUGUUGUAAUAGUGUAGGUGUUGGGGAACGUAGCAGAAAUUCAAAAUUUUCCUACGUGUCACCAAGAUCUAUCUAUGGAGAGACCAGCAACGAGUAGAAAGAAGAGAAGAGUGCAUCUACAUACCCUUGUAGAUCGCUAAGCGGAAGCGUUCAAGUGAACGGGGUUGAUGGAGUCGUACUCGUCGUGAUUCAGAUCACCGAUGAUCAAGUGCCGAACGCACGGCACCUCCGCGUUCAACACACGUACAGCCCGGUGACGUCUCCCACGCCUUGAUCCAGCAAGGAGAGAGGGAGAGGUUGAGGAAGACUCCAUCCAGCAGCAGCACAACGGCGUGGUGGUGGUGGAGGAGUGUGGCAAUCCCGCAGGGCUUCGCCAAGCACCAUGGGAGAAGAGGAGGAGGGAGAGGGGCAGGGCUGCACCAACGAGAGAUCAAAUCGCGUGUUAUGGGCAGCCCUAUGCCUCACUAUUUAUAGGGGGAGAGGGGGCUGCGCCCCCCUCUAGGGUUUCCCACCCCCAAGGGGUGCGGCCAGCCCUAGAUGGCAAAGGGGGCGGCGGCCAGGAGGGGGAGAGAGGGGAGGCGCCCACUAGGUGGGCCUUAAGGCCCAUCUGGACUAGGGUUUGCCCCCUCCCACUCUCCCUUGCGCCUUGGCCCCUUGUGGGGGGCGCACCAGCCCACCUAGGGGCUGGUCCCCUCCCACACAUGGCCCACGCAGACUUCUGGGGCAGGUGGCCCCACUUGGUGGACCCCCGGGACCCUCCCGGUGGUCCCGGUACAAUACCGAUAUCGCCCGAAACUUUUCCGGUGACCAAAACAGGACUUCCCAUAUAUAAAUCUUUACCUCCGGACCAUUCCGGAACUCCUCGUGACGUCCGGGAUCUCAUCCGGGACUCCGAACAACAUUCGGUAACCACAUACAAGCUUCCUUUAUAACCCUAGCGUCAUCGAACCUUAAGUGUGUAGACCCUACGGGUUCGGGAGACAUGUAGACAUGACCGUGACGUUCUCCGGUCAAUAACCAACAGCGGGAUCUGGAUACCCAUGUUGGCUCCCACAUGUUCCACGAUGAUCUCAUCGGAUGAACCACGAUGUCAAGGACUCAAUCGAUCCCGUAUACAAUUCCCUUUGUCUAUCGGUAUGUUACUUGCCCGAGAUUCGAUCGUCGGUAUCCAAUACCUUGUUCAAUCUCGUUACCGGCAAGUCACUUUACUCGUUCCGUAACACAUCAUCCCGUGAUGAACUCCUUGGUCACAUUGCGCAUAUGAUGAUGUCCUACCGAGUGGGCCCAGAGAUACCUCUCCGUUUACACGGAGUGACAAAUCCCAGUCUCGAUUCGUGCCAACCCAACAGACACUUUCGGAGAUACCUGUAAUGCACCUUUAUAGCCACCCAGUUACGUUGUGACGUUUGGUACACCCAAAGCACUCCUACGGUAUCCGGGAGUUGCACAAUCUCAUGGUCUAAGGAAAAGAUACUUGACAUUAGCAAAGCUCUAGCAAAUGAACUACACGAUCUUUUGUGCUAGUCUUAGGAUUGGGUCUUGUCCAUCACAUCAUUCUCCUAAUGAUGUGAUCCCGUUAUCAACGACAUCCAAUGUCCAUAGCCAGGAAACCAUGACUAUCUGUUGAUCACAACGAGCUAGUCAACUAGAGGCUCACUAGGGACAUAUUGUGGUCUAUGUAUUCACACGUGUAUUACGAUUUCCGGAUAAUACAGUUAUAGCAUGAAUAAAAGACAAUUAUCAUGAACAAGGAAAUAUAAUAAUAAUACUUUUAUUAUUGCCUCUAGGGCAUGUUUCCAACAGUCUCCCACUUGCACUAGAGUCAAUAAUCCAGUUCACAUCGCCAUGUGAUUAACAUUCACAGGUCACAUCGCCAUGUGACUAAUACCCAAGAGUUUACUAGAGUCAGUAGUCUAGUUCACAUCACUAUGUGAUUAACACUCAAUGAGUUUUAUGUUUGAUCAUGUUGCUUGUGAGAGAGGUUUUAGUCAACAGGUCUGAACCUUUAAGAUCCGUGUGUGCUUUACAAAUCUCUAUGUCAUCUCCUAGAUGCAGCUACCACGCUCUAUUUGGAGCUAUUCCAAACAACUGUUCUACUUGGAGCUAUUCUAAAUUAUUGCUCCAUUAUAUGUAUCCGGUCUCUCUACUCAGAGCUAUCCGGAUAGGUGUCAAGCUUGCAUCGUCGUAACCUUUACGACGAACUCUUUUACCACCUCCAUAAUCGAGAAAAUUUCUUAGUCCACUAGUUACUAAGGAUAACUUUGACCGCUGUCCUGUGAGCCAUUCUUGGAUCACUCUUGUACCCCUUGACUGACUCAUGGCAAGGCACACUUCAGGUGCGGUACACAGCAUAGCAUACUGAAGAGCCUACGUCUUAAGCAUAGGGAACGACCUUCGUCCUUUCUCUCUUUUCUGCCGUGGUCGAGCUUUAAGUCUUAACUUCGUACCUUACAACUCAGGCAAGAACUCCUUCUUUGACUGGUCCAUCUUGAACACCUUCAAGAUCAUGUCAAGGUAUGUGCUCAUUUGAAAGUAUUAUUAAGCAUUUUGAUCUAUCCUUAUAGAUCUUGAUGCUCAAUGUUCAAGUAGCUUAAUCCAGGUUUUCUAUUGAAAAACACCUUUCAAAUAACCCUAUAUGCUUUCUAGAAAUUCUACAUCAUCUCUGAUCAUCAAUAUGUCAACAACAUAUACUCAUCAGAAAUUCUAUAGUGCUCUCACUCACUUCUUUGGAAAUACAAGUUUCUCAUAAACUUUGUACAAACCCAAAAUUUUUGAUCAUCAUCAAAGCAUUCAUUCCAACUCCGAGAUGCUCACUCCAGUCCUUAGAAGGAUUGCUGGAGCUUUGCAUACUUAUUAGCAUCUUUCGGGAUUGACAAAACCUUCCGGUUGUAUCACAUACAACCUUUCCUCAUUAAAAUCGUCGAGGAAACAAUGUUUUGACAUCCUAUCUGCAAGAUUUCAUAAAUAAUGCAGUAAUCGCUAAUAUAAUUCCAACAGACUCUUAGCAUCGCUACGAGUGAGAAAAUCUCAUCGUAGUCAACUCCUUGAACUUGUCGGAAAACAUCUUAACGACAAGUCGAGCUUUCUUAAUGGUGACAUUUACCAUCAUUGUCCGUCUUCCUUUUGAAAUCCAUCUGUACUCAUUUGCCUUACGACCAUCGAGCCGUUCUGCCAAAGUCUACACUUUGUUUUCAUACAUGGAUCCUCUCUCGGAUUUUAUGGCCUCAAGCCAUUUAUCGGAAUCCGGGCCCACCAUCGCUUCUCCAUAGCUCGUAGGUUCAUUGUUGUCUAGCAACAUGACCUUCAAGACAGGAUUACGUACCACUCUGAAGUAGUACGCAUCCUUGUCAUCCUACGAGGUUUGGGAGUGACUUGAUCCGAAGUUUCAUGAUCAAUAUCAUAAUCUUCCACUUCAAUUGGUGUAGGUGCCACAUGAACAACUCCCUGUGCCCUGUCACACACUAGUUGAAGAGACGGUUCAAUAACCUCAUCAAGUCUCCACCAUCCUCCCACUCAAUUCUUUCGAGAGAAACUUUUCCUCGAGAAAGGACCCGAUUCUAGAAACAAUCCAUAUUGCUUUCGGAUCUGAAUUAGGAGGUAUACCCAACUGUUUUGGGUUUCCUAUGAAGAUGCAUUUUAUCCGCUUUGGGUUCGAGCUUAUCAACCUGAAACUUUUUCAUAUAAGCGUCGCAGCCCCAAACUUUUAAGAAACGACAACUUAGGUUUCUCUAAACCAUAAUUCAUACGGUGUCAUCUCAUCGGAAUUACGUGGUGCCCUAUUUAAAGUGAAUGUGGUUGUCUCUAAUGCCUAACCCAUGAACGAUAGUGGUAAUUCGAUAAGAGACAUCAUGGUACGCACCAUAUCCAAUAGGGUGCAACUAUGAUGUUCGGACACACCAUCACACUAUGGUGUUCCAGGCGGUAUUAAUUGCGAAACAAUUUCCACAAUGUCUUAAUUGUGUGCCAAAACUCGUGACUCAGAUAUUCAUCUCUAUGAUCAUAUCAUAGAUAUUUUUAUCCUCUUAUCACGACGAUCUUCCAACUUCACACUGAAAUUACUUGAACCUUUCAAUAAUUCAGACUCGUUAUUCAUCAAGUAAAUGUACUCAACAUCUACUCAAAUCAUCUGUGAAGUAAGAUCAUAAUGAUAUUCACUGCAUGCCUCAGCACUCAUUGGACUGCACACAUCAAAAUGUGUUGCUUCCAACAAGUUGCUAUCUUGUUCCAUUUUGCUGAAACCGAGGCUUUUCAGUCAUCUUGCCCAUGUGGUAUGAUUUGCAUAUCUCAAGUGAUUCAAAAUCAAGUGAGUCCGAACGAUCCAUUUGCAUGGAGUUUCUUCAUGCAUAUACACCAAUAGACAUGGUUCGCAUGUCUCAAACUUUUCAAAAAUGAGUGAGUCCAAAGAUCCAUCAACAUGGAGCUUCUUCAUGCAUUUUAUACCAUUAUGACUUACAUAGCAGUGCCACAAGUAAGUGGUACUAUCAUUACUAUCUUAUAUCUUUUGGCAUGAAAAUGUGUAUCACUACGAUCGAGAUUCAAUAAACCAUUCAGGUUUAAUACUAAUCUUGAUGGUAGAGGGAGCGUGCGAUGUUUGAUCACAUCAAACUUGGAAACACUUCCAACACAUAUCGUCAGCUCACCUUUAGCUAGUCUCCGUUUAUGCCGUAGCUUUUAUUUCGAGUUACUAACACUUAGCAACCGAACCGGUAUCUAAUACCCUGGUGCUACUAGGAGUACUAGUAAAGUACACAUUAACAUAAUGUAUAUCGACCUUGCCAGCCUUCUCAUCUACCAAGUAUCUAGGGUAAUCUUGCUCCAGUGGUUGUUCCCCUUAUUACAGAAGCACUCAGUCUCGGGUUUGGGUUCAACCUCGGGUUUCUUCAUUGGUGCAGCAGCUGAUUUGCCGUUUCAUGAAGUAUCCCUUCUUUCCCUUGCCCUUCUUGAAACUAGUGGUUUCAUCAACCAUCAACAAUUGAUGCUCCUUCUUGAUUUCUACUUUCACGAUGUCAAACAACGCGAAUACCUCAAGGAUCAUCAUAUCUAUCCCUGAUAUGUUAUAGUUCAUCAUGAAGCUCUAGCAGCUUGGUGGUAAUGACUUCGGAGAAACUAUCACUAUUUCAUCUGGAAGAUCAACUCCCACUUGAUUCAAGUGAUUGUUGUACUCAGACAAUCUGAGCACAAGCUCAACGAUUGAGCUUUUCUCCCUUAGUUUGUAGGCUAAGAAAAUUGUCGGAGGUCUCAUACCUCUUGACGUGGGCACGAGCCUGAAAUCCCAAUUUCAGCCCUCGAAACAUCUCAUAUGUUCCGCGACGUUUCGAAAACGUCUUUGGUGCCUCUACUUAAACCAUUUAACUGAACUAUCACAUAGUUAUCAAAACGUGUAUGUCCGAUGUUCGCAACAUCGACAAACGACGUUGGGGUUCAGCACACUGAGCGGUGCAUUAAGGACAUAAGCUUUCUACUGAUCGCAUAAUCGCUACUAUCAACUUUCAACUAUAAUUUUCUCUAGGAACAUAUCUAAACAGUAGAACUAUAGCGUGAGCUACGACAUAAUUUGCAAAAGGUCUUUUGACUAUGUUCAGGAUAAUUAAGUUCAUCUUAUGAACUCCCACUCAGAUAGACAUCCCUCUAGUCAUCUAAGUGAUCACAUGAUCCGAGUCAACUAGGCCGUGUCCGAUCAUCACGUGAGACGGACUAGUUAACGUCGGUGAACAUCUUCAUGUUGAUCGUAUCUGCUAUACGACUCAUGCUCGACCUUUCGGUCUCUGUGUUCCGAGGCCAUGUCUGCACAUGCUAGGCUCGUCAAGUUAACCCUAAGUGUUUUCGCUGUGUAAAACUGUCUUACACCCGUUGUAUGUGAACGUAAGAAUCCAUCACACCCGAUCAUCACGUGGUGCUUAGAAGCGACGAACUGUAGCAACGGUGCACAGUUAGGGGAGAACACUUCUUGAAAUUUUGUAAGGGAUCAUCUUAUUUACUACCGUCGUCCUAAGUAAACAAGAUGCAUAAACAUGAUAAACAUCACAUGCAAUCAAAUAGAGUAGUGACAUGAUAUGGCCAAUAUCAUACAGCUCCUUUGAUCUUCAUCUUUGGGGCUCCAUGAUCAUCUUGUCACCGGCUUGACACCAUGAUCCCCAUCAUCAUGAUCUCCAUCAUCGUGUCUUCAUGAAGUUGUCACGCCAACGACUACUUCUACUUCUAUGACUAACGCGUUUAGCAAUAAAGUAAAGUAGUUUACAUGGCGUUCUUCAAUGACACGCAGGUCAUACAAAAAAUAAA